rnacentral:lncRNA from 1 species
AUUUUUUUUGUCGAUCCGGACGUACUUUUUUCGACAAACCCGAGACAAACGUGUGGGGACUUUGCGGGAAUCUGAACAAUAGACAUGUAGGACUUCGACGGCCCGGGCCACCCAAAACCCUUCCCGCAUCCCGCGCCUCCAUCCUCCCCAUUUUCUCUCUCUUUCUUCUUUCUCUCUUGCCUUGGCCUCCAUUCCACCAACCCGACCGCCAAGCAACACCCCUGCCGGACUCCAUCGCCUUUCCAACCGGGCUCCACCCCACUUACCCUUCAUCGUCGUUCAACCCAUCUCCUCCCACCGUCCCGCCAGGUACCAUCCGCUACUACUAUACUCACCAUGCCUGACAACUGUUCGAUGAAUUGCCGGAGCUAAAAAAGUUGUCCCUUAUUAUUUCAAGCACUGAAUCCAAUUUGGAGUACAUAUACGAGCGCUAUGUUGAGUCGUCCAACGAGGAGCACUACACAGAUGAGACAGCGAUGAUGCAUGGGGUCCUUGAAGAUGCGGAGCGUGUGGAGGAGCAUGUUCUCAAUUUCAAGAAUCAAUCAAGGGUUAUCGAGUGCUCAACCGCAACAGGGCGCGCGUCCAUUUGCCACUGAUGGUCGACUACUUUGCCCCCAAUUCACUUGUCCCUCACCAUUUUCGCCGGUGUUUUUGGAUGCGCAAGACUGUCUUCAAUCGUUUGUACCAUGACGUCCGGUCCUAUGACGGCUACUUCAUCUUGAAGAAGGACGUCGUGGUAACGAUUGAGUUCUCUGGUUAUCAGAAGUGCAUGAUCAUACUCUGGGUGCUUGCAUAUGGCACGACCGCUGAUUCAUGGGACGAGUACCUAUGGAUGUUUGAGAGCACAUGUGGAGAUGCCAUGGUCAGGUUUGUAACUGUCGUGUCGAGGUGUUUGGACCUCAGUACCCGAGAGAACUAACUAUUGUGAACACCGAGAGGCUCUUGGCAAUCUUACAAGCAAGAGGGUGGCCAGGUUUGCUUGGAUCCCUUGACUGCAUGCAUUGGAAAUGGAAGAACUGCCCGAAGGCUUUACAAGGGCAAUACCAAGAUCAUGUUAAGAAGCCACCAUCAUUCUUGAAGAAGUCGCAUCACAUGAUAUUUGGAUUUGGCAUGCCCAGGUCUCACAAUGACACCAAUGUGCUGCAGCAAUCAACGUUGUUUUGUGAGGCUGACUGAAAGAAAAACUCCUCCUUACUACUAUACUGUCAAUAGACAUGAGUACAACAUACUACUAUCUGGUUGAUGGUAUCUAUCCUCCAUGGACUACCUUUGUUAGCACCAUCUCUAAUCCAGAUGCCCAGAAAAAGUCUCACUUUGCCCAAAGACAAGAAGCAGCUAAAAAGGAUGUCGAGAGGGCGUUUGGAGUUCUGCAGGCCCAUUUUGCAGUUAUUAGAGAACCUGCUAAACAAUGAGAUCAGGAGACCUUGUGAGAGGUGAUGGCAUGUUGUGUGAUCAUGGACAACAUGAUCGUCGAGGAUGAGAGUGAGGAUGUUGCCACGGCUCUAGAAUUUUAGAACAUGGGUGAUCCUAUCGAACUUCUAGAGCAGAAUCCAGCCACAUUUGAAGAGUUUAUUCAAAUGCAUCAACAGAUUCAGCAUCGACCAACUCACGAGUAGCUAAAAGAAGUCUGAUUGAGUAUCAGCGGGUGGUUAAAGGGGACACCAAUGUUGGAAUGUGAUAUAGGAACUUGUUUAAAUUUGAACUGCUACUGCAUGCGGCUAUUUGAACGCGUGUACUCUAUGUAUGCGGUUAUUUGAAUGUCUGAACUCUAUGUAUGCGACUAUUUGAACGUGCGAGCUUUCAAAAUAUUAGGGAGGUCGGAUGUAUGCAAGCAUCGUUGGAUGGCAGCCUCGCGCAUCCAUGUCUACAGACCUGUCCGUGAACUGACGCGGAAGGAAAUUUAUGGGUCGCUGUUGGAGGUGCCGCAAUGAGGGGUAGGGAUCCAGAUCGAUGAACUAAAGCACCAAAAAUAAAUACUCGGCAUAUCAAAAUAAACAAGAAGUUCAACAUCAUCAAUCUACAAAGAUGAUAUCUCAAAUUCUCAACUCUCAUUGGACAGCCCAUGAAUCAGCUAAAAGAAACCAAACAAAUCUGGUUAGUUAUAAUUAGUACUGAGUAGUUGUGAAGAGAUAUACCCCCACUACCAGUGCGACAUGACAUUGGGAUUUUUUUGCCGGUAAAAGGAUUGUAUUACUCAAGAGCAGGAGAGAUCAUCCCUACACAGGCUAGGGAUGUUAGUCGGUCCAGAGCAGAGCCAGACCACCAUACAGUCCUUCGUUCUAUCAAAGUUUGCUAACACAUGGCUCACACUAUUUUGCUCUCUAAAGAUAUGAGUAACACAACACUCCCUAUUACCCAGAAGCUCCUUGACCCCCGAGACCACCAUUGCAUGCUCGGAGUGAUUGUCGUGGUUCUAAGACUGACAGUAGAAAGGGGGGUAGGUAUGGAGAGGCAAGAUCUCAGCUAUGGUGAAGGUGUACUGAUACGUCCAUUUUGCAUCAUGCUUUUAUAUCAAUAUUUAUUGCAUUAUGGGCUAUUAUUACACAUUAUAUCUCAAUACUAUGGCUAUUCUCUCUUAUUUUACAAGGUUUACCAUGAAGAGGGGGAAUGCCGGCAGCUGGAAUUCCGGCUGGAAAAGGAGCAAACGUUGGAAACCUAUUCUGCACAGCUCCAAAAGUCCUGAAACUCCACGAAACAACUUUUUGGAAUUAAUAAGAAUUUCUGAGCGAAAGAAAUACACCAGGGGGCCCACACUCUGUCCAGGAGACAGGAGAGCACCCCCCCCUAUAGGGCGCGCCCCCUAUCUCCUGGGCCCCCUGGUGGGCCUCCGGCGUCCAUCUUCUGCUAUAUCAUCACUUUUACCCUGGAAAAAAUCGUGGGCAAGCUUACGGGACGAAACUCCGCCGCCACGAGGCGGAACCUUGGCGGAAUCAAUCUAGGGCUCCGGCGGAGCUGUUCUGCCGGGGACACUUCCCUCCGGGAGGGGGAAACCAUCACCAACGAUCCUCUCAUCGGGAGGGGGUCAAUCUCCAUCAACAUCUUCACCAGCACCAUCUCCUCUCAAAACCCUAGUUCAUCUCUUGUAUCCAAUCUUGUAUCAAAACCACAAAUUGGUACCUGUGGGUUGCUAGUAGUGUUGAUUACUCCUUGUAGUUGAUGCUAAUUGGUUUACUUGGUGGAAGAUCAUAUGUUCAGAUCCUUUAUGCAUAUUAUUACUCCUCUAAUUAUGAACAUGAAUAUGCUUUGUGAGUAGUUACGUUUGUUACUGAGGACAUGGGUGAAGUCUUGCUAUUAGUAGUCAUGUGAAUUUGGUAUUCGUUCAAUAUUUUGAUGAGAUGUAUGUUGUCUUUUCCUCUAGUGGUGUUAUGUGAACGUCGACUACAUGACACUUCACAUUUAUUUGGGCCUAGAGGAAGGCAUGGGGAAGUAAUAAGUAGAUGAUGGGUUGCUAGAGUGACAGAAGCUUAGUCCCUAGUUUAUGUGUUGCUUCGUUAGGGGCUGAUAUGGAUCCAUAUGUUUAAUGUUGUGGUUAGGUUUACCUUAAUACUUCUUUUGUAGUUGCGGACGCUUGCAAAAGGGGUUAAUCAUAAGUGGGAUGCUUGUCCAAGUUAGGGCAGUACCCAAGUACCGGUCCACCCACAUAUCAAAUUAUCAAAGUACCAAACGUGAAUCAUAUGAACGUGAUGAAAACUAGCUUGACGAUAAUUCCCAUGUGUCCUCGAGAGCUCCUUUAUCAUUAUUAGAAAUUGUCCAGGCUUAUCCUUUGCUACAUAAAGGAUUGGGCCACCUUGCUGCACUUUAUUUACUUGUUACUCGUUACUAUUUAUCUUAUCACAAAACUAUCUAUCACCUACAAUUUCAGUGCUUGCAGAGAAAACCUUACUGAAAACCGCUUAUCAUUUCCUUCUGCUCCUCGUUGGGUUCGACACUCUUACUUAUCGAAAGGACUAUGAUUGAUCCCCUACACUUGUGGGUCAUCAAGACUCUUUUCUGGCACCGUUGCCGGGGAGUGUAGCGCUUUUGGUGAGUGGAACUUGGUAAGGAAACAUUUAUAUAGUGUGCUGAAAUUUUCUGUUACUUGUCACUAUGGAAACUAACCCUUUGAGGGGCUUGUUUGGGGUAUCAUCACCCCAACCAGAAGAGCAAAGAGUUGCCCCUCAACCUACUGAAAUUUAUGAAAAUAUUCACUUUGAGAUUCCUUCGGGUAUGAUAGAAAAACUGCUAGCUAAUCCAUUUGUAGGAGACGGAACAUUGCAUCCCGAUUUACACCUUAUCUUUGUGGAUGAAGUUUGUGGAUUAUUUUAAGCUUGCAGGUAUUCCCGAUGAUGUUGUCAAAAGGAAGGUAUUCCAUUUAUCUUUGAAGGGAGAUGCAUUGACACGGUAUAGGCUAUGUGAUGGUACGAGAUCUUGGAAUUAUAAGCGAUUGAAGUUGGAAUUUCACCAGAAGUUCUAUCCUAUGCAUCUUGUUCAUCGUGAUCGUAAUUACAUAUAUAAUUUCUGGCCUCACGAAGGAGAAAGCAUCGCUCAAGCUUGGGGCAGGCUUGAGUCAAUGUUAUAUUCAUGCCCUAAUCAUGAGCUCUCUCGGGAAAUGAUUAUUCAGAAUUUUUAUGCUCGGCUUUCUCUUGAUAAUCGCAACCUGCUCGAUACUUCCUGUGAUGGUUCUUAUAUGCUGAAGACUAUUGAUUUCAAAUGGGGCUUAUUGGAAAGAAUUAAACGCAACUCUGAAGAUUGGGGUUCCGACGAUGGUAAGGAGUCAGGUAUGACACCUAAGUUCGAUUGUGUUCAAUCUUUUAUGGAUACCGAUGCUUUCCGUGGAUUUAGCUCUAAGUAUGGACUUGACUCUAAGAUAGUAGCUACUUUCUGUGAAUCUUUUGCUACUCACGUUGAUCUCCCUAAAGAGAAGUGGUUUAAAUAUAAUCCUCCUAUUGAAGUGAAAGUAGUUGCACCUAUUACAAUCGAAGAAAAUACUAUUACCUAUAGUGAUCCUAUUGUUCCUACUGCUUAUGUUGAAAAACCUCCUUUUCCUGUUAGGAUAAAGGAUUAUGCUAAAACUGAUGGGGAACGUUGCAGAAAACAAAAAAUUUCCUACUUGUUUCACCAAGAUCAUCUAGGAGUUCAUCUAGCAACGAGUGAUUAGAUGCAUCUACAUACCUUUGUAGAUCGCGCACGGAAGCGUUCAAAAGAACGGUGAUGAUGUAGUCGUACUCGACGUGAUCCAAAUCACCGAUGACCAGCGCCGAACGGACGGCACCUCCGCGUUCAACACACGUACGGGACGGGAGACGUCUCCUCCUUCUUGAUCCAGCAAGGGGAAAGGAGAGGUUGAUGAAGAUCCAGCAGCACGACGGCGUGGUGGUGGAUGCAGGGCGUCACAGCAGCAGGGCUUCGCCGAGACUACGAGGGAGAGAUGUAACGGGGGGAGAUGGAGGCGCCAGGGGCUGGUCUAAAAUCCCUCCUCUCCCCCCCACUAUAUAUAGGGGUGCCAAGGGGGGGGCGCCGGCCCUAGUAGAUGGCAUCUACUAGGGGGGGCGGCGGCCAAGGGGAGGUUUCCCUCCCCCCCAAGGCACCUAGGGGUGCCUUCCACCACAUGGACUCUUCCAUGGUGGAAACCCUAGGCGCAUGGGCCUAUAGGGGCUGGUGCCCUUGGCCCAUCUAGGCCGAGGCGCACCCCCUACAGCCCAUGUGGCCCCCCCGGGACAGGUGGCCCCACCCGGUGGACCCCCGGGACCCUUCCGGUGGUCCCGGUACAAUACCGAUAACCCCAAAACUUGUCCCGAUGCCCGAAAUAGCACUUCCUAUAUAUAAUUCUUUACCUCCGGACCAUUCCGGAACUCCUCGUGACGUCCGGGAUCUCAUCCGGGACUCCGAACAACAUUCGGGUUUCUGCAUAUACAUAUCUUCAUAACCCUAGCGUCACCGAACCUUAAGUGUGUAGACCCUACGGGUUCGGGAGACAAGCAGACAUGACCGAGACGACUCUCCGGUCAAUAACCAACAGCGGGAUCUGGAUACCCAUGUUGGCUCCCACAUGCUCCACGAUGAUCUCAUUGGAUGAACCACGAUGUCGAGGAUUUAAUCAAUCCCGUACGCUAUUCCCUUUGUCUAUCGAUAUGUUACUUGCCCGAGAUUCGAUCGUCGGUAUCCCAAUACCUCGUUCAAUCUCGUUACCGGCAAGUCACUUUACUCGUACCGUAAUGCAUGAUCCCGUGACCAGACACUUGGUCACUCUGAGCUCAUUAUGAUGAUGCAUUACCGAGUGGGCCCAGUGAUACCUCUCCGUCAUACGGAGUGACAAAUCCCAGUCUUGAUCCAUGUCACCCAACAGACACUUUCGGAGAUACCCGUAGUCUACCUUUAUAGUCACCCAGUUACGUUGUGACGUUUGGCAUACCCAAAGCACUCCUACGGUAUCCGGGAGUUACACGAUCUCAUGGUCUAAGGAAAAGAUACUUUGACAUUGCAAAACUCUAGCAAACGAACUAUACGAUCUUGUGCUAUGUUUAGGAUUGGGUCUCGUCCAUCACAUCAUUCUCCCAAUGAUGUGAUCUUGUUAUCAAUGACAUCCAGUGUCCAUAGUCAGGAAACCAUGACUAUCUGUUGAUCAACGAGCUAGUCAACUAGAGGCUCACUAGGGACAUGUUGGUGUCUGUUAUUCACACAUGCAUUACGAUUUCCGGAUAACACAAUUAUAGCAUGAAUAAAGACAAUUAUCAUGAACAAGGAAAUAUAAUAAUAAUGCUUUUAUUAUUGCCUCUAGGGCAUAUUUCCAACAGUCUCCCACUUGCACUAGAGUCAAUAAUCUAGUUACAUUGUGAUGAAUCGAACACCCAUGGAAUUCUGGUGUUGAUCAUGUUUUGCUCUAGGGAGAGGUUUAGUCAACGGAUCUGCUACAUUCAGGUCCGUAUGUACUUUACAAAUCUCUAUGUCUCCAUCUUGAACAUUUUCACGAAUGGAGUUGAAGCGACGCUUGAUGUGCCUUGUCUUCUUGUGCUGCCUCCGAGGCUGCCAUGUACUCCGCUUCACAUGUAGAUCCCGCCACGACGCUCUGCUUGCAACUGCACCAGCUUACUGCCCCACCAUUCAAAAUAUACACGUAUCCGGUUUGUGACUUAGAGUCAUCCAGAUCUGUGUCGAAGCUAGCGUCGACGUAACCCUUUACGACGAGCUCUUCGUCACCUCCAUAAACGAGAAACAUUUCCUUAGUCCUUUUCAGGUACUUCAGGAUAUUCUUGACCGCUGUCCAGUGUUCCUUGCCGGGAUUACUUUGGUACCUUCCUACCAAACUGACGGCAAGGUUAACAUCAGGUCUGGUACACAGCAUGGCAUACAUAAUAGAACCUAUGGCUGAGGCAUAGGGGAUGACGCUCAUCUCUUCUAUAUCUUCUGCCGUGGUCGGACAUUGAGCUGAGCUCAAUUUCAUACCUUGUAACACAGGCAAGAACCCCUUCUUGGAUUGAUCCAUAUUGAACUUCUUCAAUAUCUUAUCAAGGUAUGUGCUUUGUGAAAGACCUAUGAGGCGUCUCGAUCUAUCUCUAUAGAUUUUGAUGCCUAAUAUAUAAGCAGCUUCUCCAAGGUCCUUCAUUGAAAAACUUUUAUUCAAGUAGGCCUUGAUGUUGUCCAAGAGUUCUAUAUCAUUUCCCAUCAAAAGAAUGUCAUCUACAUAUAAUAUGAGAAAUGCUACAGAGCUCCCACUCACUUUCUUGUAAACACAGGCUUCUCCAUAAGUCUGUGUAAACCCAAACGCUUUGAUCAUCUCAUCAAAGCGAAUGUUCCAACUCCGAGAUGCUUGCACCAGCCCAUAAAUCGAGCGUUGGAGCUUGCACACUUUGUCAGCAUUCUUAGGAUCGACAAAACCUUCCGGCUGCAUCAUAUACAAUUCUUCCUUAAGGAAACCAUUAAGGAAUGCCAUUUUGACGUCCAUUUGCCAUAUUUCGUAAUCAUAGAAUGCGGCAAUUGCUAACAUGAUUCGGACGGACUUCAGCUUCGCUACCGGUGAGAAAGUCUCAUCGUAGUCAACCCCUUGAACUUGUCGAUAACCCUUAGCGACAAGCCGAGCUUUAUAGAUGGUCACAUUACCAUCCGCGUCUGUCUUCCUCUUAAAGAUCCAUUUAUUUUCUAUGGCUCGCCGCUCAACGGGCAAGUCAGUCAAAGUCCAUACUUUGUUUUCAUACAUGGAUCCUAUCUCGGAUUUCAUGGCUUCUAGCCAUUUGUUGGAAUCCGGGCCCGCCAUCGCUUCUUCAUAGUUCGAAGGUUCACCGUUGUCUAACAGCAUGAUUUCCAAGACAGGGUUGCCGUACCACUCUGGUGCGGAACGUGUCCUUGUGGACCUUCGAAUUUCAGUAGGGGCUUGAUCAGAAGUAUCUUGAUCAUUGUCAUUAACUUCCUCUCUAGUCGGUGCAGGCACCUCAGGAACAUUUUCUUGAGUUGCGCCAUUUUCCGGUUCAAGAGGUAAUACUUCAUCAAGCUCUACUUUCCUCCCACUUACUUCUUUCGAGAGAAACUCUUUCUCUAGAAAGGACCCAUUCUUGGCAAUAAAGAUCUUGCCUUCGGAUCUGAGGUAGAAGGUGUACCCAAUAGUUUCUUUUGGGUAUCCUAUGAAGACGCAUUUUUUCGACUUGGGUUCGAGCUUUUCAGGUUGAAGUUUCUUGACAUAAGCAUCGCAUCCCCAAACUUUUAGAAACGACAGCUUAGGUUUCUUCCCAAACCAUAAUUCAUACGGUGUCGUCUCAACGGAUUUCGACGGAGCCCUAUUUAAAGUGAAUGCGGCAGUCUCUAAAGCAUAGCCCCAGAAGGAUAGCGGUAAAUCGGUAAGAGACAUCAUAGAUCGCACCAUAUCUAAUAGAGUGCGAUUACGACGUUCGGACACACCAUUACGCUGAGGUGUUCCAGGCGGCGUGAGUUGUGAAACUAUUCCACAUUUUCUUAAGUGCGUGCCAAACUCGUGACUCAAGUAUUCUCCUGCACGAUCUGAUCGUAGAAACUUGAUUUUCCUGUCAUGUUGAUUUUCAACCUCACUCUGAAAUUCCUUGAACUUUUCAAAGGUUUCAGACUUGUGUUUCAUUAAGUAGAUAUACCCAUACCUACUUAAAUCAUCAGUGAGGGUGAGAACAUAACGAUAGCCACCGCGAGCCUCAACACUCAUUGGACCGCACACAUCAGUAUGUAUGAUUUCCAAUAAGUCGGUUGCUCGCUCCAUUGUUCCUGAGAAUGGAGUCUUGGUCAUUUUACCCAUAAGGCAUGGUUCGCAUGUGUAAAAUGAUUCAUAAUCAAGAGACUCUAAAAGUCCAUCAGCAUGGAGCUUCUUCAUGCGUUUGACACCUAUGUGACCAAGGCGGCAGUGCCACAGGUAUGUGGGACUAUCAUUAUCAACCUUACUUCUUUUGGUACUCACAUUAUGAACAUGUGUAGCAUCACGUUCGAGAUUCAUAAAGAAUAAACCAUUCACCAUAGGAGCAUGACCAUAAAACAUAUCUCUCAUAAAAAUGGAAGAACCAUUAUUCUCAGAUUUAAAAGAGUAGCCAUCUCGAAUUAAACGAGAUCCCGAUACAAUGUUCAUGCUCAAAGCUGGCACUAAAUAACAAUUAUUAAGGUUUAAAACUAAUCCCGAAGGGAGAUGCAUAGGUAGCGUGCCGACGGCGAUCACAUUGACCUUGGAACCAUUCCCGACGCGCAUCGUCACCUCGUCCUUUGCCAGUUUCCGCUUAUUCCGCAGCCCCUGCUUUGAGUUACAAAUGUGAGCAACUGCACCGGUAUCAAAUACCCAGGAGCUACUACGGGCACUAGUAAGGUACACAUCAAUUACAUGUAUAUCACAUAUACCUUUUGUUUUGCCGGCCUUCUUAUCCGCUAAGUACUUAGGGCAGUUCCGCUUCCAGUGACCGCUUCCCUUGCAAUAAAAGCACUCAGUCUCGGGCUUGGGUCCAUUCUUUGGCUUCUUCCCGGCAGCUUGCUUGCCGGGCGCGGCAACCUCCUUGCCGUCCUUCUUGAAGUUCUUUUUACCCUUGCCUUUCUUGAACUUAGUGGUUUUAUUGACCAUCAACACUUGAUGUUCCUUCCUGACUUCUACCUCUGCUGAUUUCAGCAUAGCAAAUACUUCAGGAAUGGUCUUUUCCAUCCCCUGCAUAUUGAAGUUCAUCACAAAGCUCUUGUAGCUUGGUGGAAGCGACUGGAGGAUUCUGUCAAUGACCGCAUCAUCCGGGAGAUUAACUCCCAGCUGAGUCAAGCGGUUAUGCAACCCAGACAUAGUGAGUAUGUGCUCACUGACAGAACUGUUUUCCUCCAUCUUACAGCUGAAGAAUUUGUCGGAGACUUCAUAUCUCUCGACCCGGGCAUGAGCUUGGAAAACCAUUUUCAGCUCUUCGAACAUCUCAUAUGCUCCAUGUCUCUCAAAACGCUUUUGGAGCCCCGGCUCUAGGCUGUAAAGCAUGCCGCACUGAACGAGGGAGUAGUCAUCGAAACGUGCCUGCCAAGCGUUCAUAACAUCUUGUUCUGCAAGGAGAACGGGUGCGUCACCAAGUGGUGCUUGUAGGACAUAAUCUUUCUUGGCAGCUAUGAGGAUGAUCCUCAGGUUCCGGACCCAGUCUGUAUAGUUGCUGCCAUCGUCCUUCAGCUUGGUUUUCUCUAGGAACGCGUUGAAGUUGAGGACUACGUUGGCCAUUUGAUCUACAAGACAUAUUGCAAAGAUUUUAGACUAAGUUCAUGAUAAUUAAGUUCAACUAAUCAAACUAUUAGUGAACUCCCACUUAGAUUAGACAUCCCUCCAGUCAUCUAAGUAUUACAUGAUCCGAGUUUAACUAGACCGUGUCCGAUCAUCACGUGAGACGGACUAGUCAACGUCGGUGAACAUCUUCAUGUUGAUCGUAUCUACUAUACGACUCAUGCUCGACCUUUCGGUCUUCUGUGUUCCGAGGCCAUGUCUGUACAUGCUAGGCUCGUCAAGCCAACCUAAGUGUUUGCAUGUGUAAAUCUGUCUUACACCCGUUGUAUGUGAACGUCUGAAUAAAACACCCGAUCAUCACGUGGUGUUUUGAAACAGCGAACUGUCGCAACGGUGCACAGUUAGGGGGAACACUUCUUGAAAUUAUUGUGAGGGAUCAUCUUAUUUACUACCGUCGUUCUAAGUAAACAAGAUGCAAAACAUGAUAAACAUCACAUGCAAUCAAAUAAUAAACAUGACAUGAUAUGGCCAAUAUCACAUAGCUCCUUUGAUCUCCAUCUUGGGGCUCCAUGAUCAUCUUGUCACCGGCUUGACACCAUGAUCUCCAUCAUCAUGAUCUCCAUCAUCGUGUCUCCAUGAAGUUGCUCGCCAACUAUUACUUCUACUACUAUGGCUAACGCGUUUAGCGAUAAAGUAAAGUAAUUUACAUGGCGUUUCUUGAUGACACGCAGGUCAUAUAAAAGAAUAAAGACAACUCCUAUGGCUCCUGCCGGUUGUCAUACUCAUCGACAUGCAAGUCGUGAUUCCUAUUACAAUAGCAUGAACAUCUCAUACAUCACAUAUAGAUCAUUCAUCAUUCAUCACAACUUUGGCCAUAUCAUAUCACAAACCACUUGCUGCAAAAACAAGUUAGACGUCCUCUAAUUGUUGUUGCAAGUUUUACGUGGCUGAAUUAGGGUUCUAGCAAGAACGUUUUCUUACCUACGUUAAAGCCACAGCGUGAUUUGUCAACUUCUAUUUACCCUUCAUAAGGACCCUGUUCAUCGAUUCCGCUCCAACUAAAGUAGGAGAGACAGACACCCGCCAGCCACCUUAUGCAACUAGUGCAUGUUAGUCGGUGGAACCGGUCUCACGUAAGCGUACGUGUAAGGUUGGUCCGGGCCGCUUCAUCCCACAAUACCGCUGAAGCAAGAAAGGACUAGUAACGGCAAGAAAGUUGACAAAUCUACGCCCACAACAAAUUGUGUUCUACUCGCGCAAGAAGAACUACGCAUAGACCUAGCUCAUGAUGCCACUGAUGGGGAACGUUGCAGAAAACAAAAAUUUUCCUACUCGUUUCACCAAGAUCAUCUAGGAGUUCAUCUAGCAACGAGUGAUUAGAUGCAUCUACAUACCUUUGUAGAUCGCGCACGGAAGCGUUCAAAAGAACGGUGAUGAUGUAGUCGUAAUCGACGUGAUCCAAAUCACCGAUGACCAGCGCCGAACGGACGGCACCUCCGCGUUCAACACACGUACGGGACGGGAGACGUCUCCUCCUUCUUGAUCCAGCAAGGGGAAAGGAGAGGUUGAUGAAGAUCCAGCAGCACGACGGCGUGGUGGUGGAUGCAGGGCGUCACAGCAGCAGGGCUUCGCCGAGACUACGAGGGAGAGACGUAACGGGGGGGAGAUGGAGGCGCCAGGGGCUGGUCUAAAAUCCCUCCUCUCCCCCCCACUAUAUAUAGGGGUGCCAAGGGGGGGGGGCGCCGGCCCUAGUAGAUGGCAUCUACUAGGGGGGGCGGCGGCCAAGGGGAGGUUUCCCUCCCCCCCAAGGCACCUAGGGGUGCCUUCCACCACAUGGACUCUUCCAUGGUGGAAACCCUAGGCGCAUGGGCCUAUAGGGGCUGGUGCCCUUGGCCCAUCUAGGCCAAGGCGCACCCCCUACAGCCCAUGUGGCCCCCCGGGACAGGUGGCCCCACCCGGUGGACCCCCGGGACCCUUCCGGUGGUCCCGGUACAAUACCGAUAACCCCGAAACUUGUCUCGAUGCCCGAAAUAGCACUUCAUAUAUAUAAUUCUUUACCUCCGGACCAUUCCGGAACUCCUCGUGACGUCCGGGAUCUCAUCCGGGACUCCGAACAACAUUCGGGUUUCUGCAUAUACAUAUCUUCAUAACCCUAGCGUCACCGAACCUUAAGUGUGUAGACCCUACGGGUUCGGGAGACAAGCAGACAUGACCGAGACGACUCUCCGGUCAAUAACCAACAACGGGAUCUGGAUACCCAUGUUGGCUCCCACAUGCUCCACGAUGAUCUCAUCGGAUGAACCACGAUGUCGAGGAUUUAAUCAAUCCCGUACGCUAUUCCCUUUGUCUAUCGAUAUGUUACUUGCCCGAGAUUCGAUCGUCGGUAUCCCAAUACCUCGUUCAAUCUCGUUACCGGCAAGUCACUUUACUCGUACCGUAAUGCAUGAUCCCGUGACCAGACACUUGGUCACUUUGAGCUCAUUAUGAUGAUGCAUUACCGAGUGGGCCCAGUGAUACCUCUCCGUCAUACGGAGUGACAAAUCCCAGUCUUGAUCCAUGUCACCCAACAGACACUUUCGGAGAUACCCGUAGUCUACCUUUAUAGUCACCCAGUUACGUUGUGACGUUUGGCAUACCGAAAGCACUCCUACGGUAUCCGGGAGUUACAUGAUCUCAUGGUCUAAGGAAAAGAUACUUUGACAUUGGAAAACUCUAGCAAACGAACUAUACGAUCUUGUGCUAUGUUUAGGAUUGGGUCUUGUCCAUCACAUCAUUCUCCCAAUGAUGUGAUCUCGUUAUCAAUGACAUCCAGUGUCCAUAGUCAGGAAACCAUGACUAUCUGUUGAUCAACGAGCUAGUCAACUAGAGGCUUACUAGGGACAUGUUGGUGUCUGUUAUUCACACAUGUAUUACGAUUUCCGGAUAACACAAUUAUAGCAUGAAUAAAGACAAUUAUCAUGAACAAGGAAAUAUAAUAAUAAUGCUUUUAUUAUUGCCUCUAGGGCAUAUUUCCAACAAAAACUUCGACUGUUGUUCGUAAGAGUAAUACUAGGACUUAUACACCUCCUGAGCAAAUUAAUGUUGAACCUAGUAUUGCUAUGGUUAAAGAUCUCUUGGAUGAGGAUUUAGAUGGGCAUGUUAUUUCUUUCUUGGGUGAGACUGCCAAUAUUGUUAGACCUGAUACUAAGACACGUAGACCUGUCGUAGGCAUGCCUGUUAUUUCUGUUAAAAUAGGAGAUCAUUGUUAUCAUGGCUUAUGUGAUAUGGGUGCUAGUGCUAGUGCGAUAUCUUAUGAUCUUUAUAAAGAAAUUAUGCAUGGCAUUGCACCCGUUGAACUAGAAGACAUUGAUGUUACUAUUAAGCUUGCUAAUAGGGAUACCAUUAAACCUAUUGGGAUUGUUAGAGAUGUUGAAGUUUUGUGUGGGAAGGUUAAAUACCCUGCUGAUUUUCUUGUUCUUGGUUCCCCACAAGAUGAUUUUUGUCCCAUUAUUUUUGGUAGACCCUUCUUGAAUACAACUUGUGCUAAGAUUAAUUGUGAAAAGAAUAUUGUCACUGUUGGCAUUGAUGUUAUGUCUCAUGAGUUUAAUUUCGCUAAGUUUAGUAGACAACCUCGUGAAAGGGAACCACUUAGUAAGGAUGAAAUUAUUGGUCUUGCUUCCAUUGUUGUUCCUCCAACCGAUCCGUUAGAACAAUAUUUGCUAGACCAUGAAAACGAUAUGUUUAUGAAGGAAAGGAAGGAAAUAGAUGAAGUGUUCCUUAAACAGGAACCUGUGCUGAAACAUAACCUUUCCCUUGAAAUUCUUGGGGAUCCCCCUCCACCCAAGGGUGAUCCCGUGUUUGAACUCAAACCAUUACUUGAUAAUCUUAAGUAUGCUUAUCUUGAUGAAAAAGAAAUAUAUCCUGUUAUUAUUAGUGCUAACCUUUCAGAGAAAGAAGAAGAAAGAUUAUUGAAAACUCUGAAGGAGCACCGAGCAGCUAUUGGAUAUACUCUGGAUGAUCUUAAGGGCGUUAGUCCCAUGUUAUGUCAACACAAGAUUACAUUGGAGGACUAUGCCAAACCAGUUAGAGAUCCUCAAAGACGAUUAAAUCCCAAGAUGAAGGAAGUGGUAAGGAAGGAGAUUCUAAAGCUCCUUGAGGCAGGUAUUAUUUAUCCCGUUGCUGAUAGUGAAUGGGUAAGCCAUGUUCAUUGUGUUCCUAAAAAGGGAGGUAUUACCAUUGUUCCUAAUGAUAAAGAUGAAUUGAUCCCACAAAGAAUUAUUACAUGUUAUAGGAUGGUAAUUGAUUUCCCUAAGUUAAAUAAAGCUACUAAGAAAGAUCAUUACCCUUUACCUUUUAUUGAUCAAAUGCUAGAAAGGCUAUCCAAACACACACAUUUUUUCUUUCUAGAUGGUUAUUCUAGUUUCUCUCAGAUACCUGUGUCAGCGGAGGAUCAAUCUAAAACUACUUUUACUUGCCCUUUUGGUACUUUUGCUUAUAGACGUAUGCCUUUUGUUUUAUGUAAUGCACCUUCUACCUUUCAAAGAUGCAUGAUGGCUAUAUUCUCUGAUUUUUGUGAAAAGAUUUGUGAGGUAUUCAUGGAUGACUUUUCCGUUUAUGGAUCCUCUUUUGAUGAUUGUUUGAGCAACCUUGAUCGAGUUUUGUAGAGAUGCAAAGACACUAGUCUUGUCCUGAAUUGGGAAAAGUGUCACUUUAUCGUUAAUGAAGGCAUUGUCUUGGGGCACAAGAUCUCUGAGAGAGGUAUUGAAGUUGAUAAAGCCAAAGUUGAUGCUAUUGAAAAGAUGCCAUGUCCCAAGGACAUAAAAGGUAUAAGAAGUUUCCUUGGCCAUGCCGGUUUUUAUAGGAGGUUCAUUAAGGACUUUUCUAAAAUCUCUAGGCCUCUGACUAAUUUAUUGCAAAAAUAUAUUCCUUUUGUCUUUGAUGAUGAUUGUGUAGAAGCAUUUGAAGUACUUAAGAAAGCUUUGAUCACUGCACCUAUUGUUCAGCCGCCUGAUUGGAAUUUACCUUUUGAAAUUAUGUGCGAUGCUAGUGAUUAUGCUGUAGGUGUUGUUCUAGGGCAAAGAGUUGAUAAGAAAUUGAAUGUUAUCAGUAUGCUAGUAAGACUCUUGAUACUGCCCAGAGAAAUUAUGCUACUACUGAAAAAGAGUUCUUAGCAGUUGUGUUUGCAUGUGAUAAGUUUAGACCUUAUAUUGUUGAGUCCGAAGUUACUAUUCACACUGAUCAUGCCGCUAUUAAAUAUCUUAUGGAAAAGAAAGAUGCUAAGCCUAGGCUCAUUAGAUGGGUUCUCCUGCUCCAAGAAUUUGACUUGCAUAUUAUUGAUAGAAAGGGAGCUGAGAACCCCGUUGCAGAUAACUUGUCUAGGUUAGAGAAUGUUCUUGAUGACCCACUGCCUAUUAAUGAUAGCUUUCCUGAUGAACGAUUAGCGGUCGUCAAUGCUUCUCGUACUGCUCCUUGGUAUGCUAAUUAUGCUAAUUAUAUUGUUGCUAAAUUUAUACCUCCUAGUUUCACAUACCAACAAAAGAAAAAGUUCUUUUAUGAUUUAAGACAUUACUUCUGGGAUGAUCCACACCUUUAUAAAGGAGUAGAUGGUGUUAUUAGAUGUUGUGUGCCUGAGCAUGAACAGGAACAGAUCCUACGUAAGUGUCACUCUGAAUCUUAUGGAGGACACCACGCUGGAGAUAGAACUGCACACAAGGUACUACAAUCUGGUUUUUAUUGGCCUACUCUCUUCAAAGAUGCUCGUAAGUUUGUCUUAUCUUGUGAUGAAUGUCAAAGAAUAGGUAACAUUAGUAGACGUCAAGAAAUGCCUAUGAAUUAUUCUCUUGUUAUUGAACUGUUUGAUGUUUGGGGCUUUGAUUAUAUGGGACCUUUUCCUGCCUCUAAUGGUUAUACACAUAUUUUAGUUGUUGUUGAUUACGUUACUAAGUGGGUAGAAGCUAUUCCAACUAGUAGUGCUGAUCAUAACACUUCUAUUAAAAUGCUUAAGGAAGUUAUUUUUCCGAGGUUUGGAGUCCCCAGAUAUCUUAUGACUGAUGGUGGUUCACAUUUUAUUCAUGGUGCUUUCCGUAAGAUGCUUGCUAAGUAUGAUGUCAAUCAUAUAAUCGCAUCUCCUUAUCAUCCGCAGUCCAGUGGUCAAGUAGAGUUGAGCGAUAGAGAGCUCAAAUUAAUUUUGCAAAAGACUGUGAAUAGAUCUAGAAAGAAUUGGUCCAAAAAACUUGAUGAUGCAUUAUGGGCCUAUAGAACUGCAUACAAAAAUCCUAUGGGUAUGUCUCCUUAUAAGAUGGUUUAUGGAAAAGUGUGUCAUUUACCUCUUGAACUUGAACAUAAGGCAUAUUGGGCUAUUAAAGAGCUCAACUAUGACUUCAAACUUGCCGGUGAGAAGAGGUUGUUUGAUAUUAGCUCACUUGAUGAAUGGAGAACCCAAGCAUAUGAGAAUGCCAAGCUUUUCAAAGAAAAAGUCAAACGCUGGCAUGAUAAGAGGAUACAAAAGCGUGAGUUUAAUGUAGGAGAUUAUGUUUUAUUAUUCAACUCUCAUUUAAGAUUUUUGCAGGAAAACUUCUCUCAAAAUGGGAAGGACCAACAUUAUAUUUCAGGUAAUCCUAUCAAUGUUGAAACUAAUAUUAUUGAAACCAUAACCCCUGAGGAAUACAUAAGGGACACUUUCCAGAAUGUUCCAGACUCCGAAAAGGUAUAGGUAUGUGGCACGGUAAGUAGACCGACUCCAAAACAACUCCAAUGGCAAUUUUUAUCAGUUUUGGAAUAUUUAAGAAUUUUAGGAAGAAAGAAGUAGUCCGAAAGGGACACAAGGCUCCAACGAGAGUGGAGCCCCCCCCCCUGUAGGGCGUGCCCCCUGUCUCAUGGGCACCUCGUGUGCCUCCCGGACUCCAUUUUCUUUCACAUUACGUAUUUUGGUCGGUAAAAAUUCAUUAUAUAUACUCCCGAAGGUUUUGACCACUGUAUCAUGCAAAUAUCCUCUGUUUUCAUUUCGAGCUGUUCCUGUUGCAGAAUAAAGCAAGAUGUCUUCUCAGGAAUCAGUCGGGGAGAGUCGGGUGUCUCACCCAACGCCAGGUCCAGGAGCAAACAGCGAUGCCUAUCACUUUGGACCAUCAACGGAGGAUGAGAUGGAGGCUGAUUUGAAAAAGAUAGAUGCCAUGGAUGAAGAUCAAGAAGUCACCUCUCGUCUCCGAGCAGAAUAUUCAUGAUGGGGGAACUACCUAGCAUGGCUAUUCCAGCUUCGGUCAUCCCUUCCAACUCUAGAUUUCUUUCUUAUGAAAAUAUGAAAAAGAGUUUCACUUGUUCUCCAGAAGCUAUGCAGCAUCCUUGGGUAAAAGGAGCUUUGGCCGUUACGGGCAAGCUCUGUAAAGAAAUUAUGGACCUCAAACAACAAGUCAAUAAGCUCGAGGAGGAGAACCGUAUCCUGAAGGGCAUCAUCACCAAGAAGAUCAUAACACCAACCGUGAAGAAGGAGAAAUAAUCACAUGGGUAUGGGCACUCCCCUUGGCAACUGCCAAGCUUGGGGGAGGUGCCCCGGUAUCGUAUCACCAUCACACUCUUAUCUUUACCACUUUAUUUAGUUCGAUCCUUUUAGUAGUAUCUUGAUCUAGUAGAUUGAAGUUUUGAUGUCAAGUAGUUUGAGUUUUGCAUUGUGAUCUCUUUUUGUAAUCAAGUCCGUGAGCUAUCUAUAAUAAAGAUUAGUGUUGAGUCAAGGGCUUUGCUAUGCUGCUAUGAUCUUGAGAAGUAGAAAGAAUAAAAGAGUUCAUAUUGAUCUUAUGGAUAGUGAUAACUUCACAUAUAGAAAGUAUGAGGCAUAAAAUUUGUUGAGAGUUGAUGAACGUAGCCUUGGUCAUCGUUGCAAUUAAUAGGAAGUGAUAAGGAAAGAGGGGUUCACAUAUAAAUAUAUUAUGUGGGACACCUUUUAUAAUUGGGAGCACUCAUUAUGUAUGACAUGAUAAAAGAGUUGACAUUGGACAAGGAAGACAACGUAAUAGUUUAUGUUUUCCGACAUCUCAGUUAAAGUAUAUUGUCAUUGACCUUCCAAACAUGUCGAGCUUGCCUUUCCCCCUCAUGCUAGCCAAAUUCCUUGCACCAAGUAGAGAUACUACUUGUGCUUCCAAAUAUCCCUAAACCCAGUUUUGCCAUGAGAUACCUACCUAUGGAUUGAGUAAGAUCCUUCAAGUAAGUUAUCAUCGGUACAAGCAAUAAAAAUUGCUCUCUAAACAUGUAUGACUUAUUAGUGCAGAAAAAAUAAGCUUUGUACAAACUUGUUGUGGAAGUAAUAAAAGCGACGGACUGCAUAAUAAAGGUCCACAUACAAGGGGCAAUAUAAAGUGACGUUCUUUUGCAUUAAGAUUUUGUGCAUCAACCCUAAACGCGCAUGACAACCUCUGCUUCCCUCUGCGAAGGGCCUAUCUUUUACUUUAUGUUUUUACUUUAUGCUUGAGUCAAGGUGAUCCUCACCUUUCCCUUUUUCAUUUUAUCCUUUGGCAAGCUCCUCGUGUUUGAAAGAUCAUGAUAUAUAUAUCCAAUUAGAUGUAAGUUAGCAUGGGCUAUUAUUGUUGACAUCACCUAAAGGUGAAUACGUUGGGAGGCAACACAAUAAGCCCCUAUCUUUCUCAACGUCCGGCUGAAACUCUAUAACCACAAGUACUGCAUGAGUGUUAGCAAUUGUAGGAGACUACAAGAUAGUUGAGUAUGUGAGCUUGCUGAAAAGCUCUAUUAUUGACUCUUUCUGAUGUUACGAUAAAUUGCAAUUGCUUUAAUGACUGAGAUUAUAGUUUGUUAGUUCCCAAUGAAGUUUUUGAACCAUACUUGACAUUGUGAAUUGCUUGUUACUUGAGCACAAGAAAUCAUAUGACAAAAUCUAUAUAUGUUGUUGUUAUUAGAAUGAUCAUGAUGCCCUCAUGUCCGUAUUUUAUUUUUAUCGACACCUCUAUCUCUAAACAUGUGGACAUAUUUUUCGAUCUCGGCUUCCGCUUGAGGACAAGCGAGGUCUAAACUUGGGGAGUUGAUACGUCCAUUUUGCAUCAUGCUUUUAUAUCAAUAUUUAUUGCAUUAUGGGCUGUUAUUACACAUUAUAUCUCAAUACUUAUGGCUAUUCUCUCUUAUUUUACAAGGUUUACCAUGAAGAGGGGGAAUGCCGACAGCUGGAAUUCUGGCUGGAAAAGGAGCAAACAUUGGAAACCUAUUCUGCACAGCUCCAAAAGUCCUGAAACUCCACGAAACAACCUUUUGGAAUUAAUAAGAAUUUCUGAGCGAAAGAAAUACACCAGGGACCCACACCCUGUCUAGGAGACAGGAGGGCGCCUCCCCCCUAUAGGGCGCGCCCCCUAUCUCCUGGGCCCCCUGGUGGGCCUCCGGUGUCCAUCUUCUGCUAUAUCAUCACUUUUACCCUGGAAAAAAUUGUGGGCAAGCUUACGGGACGAAACUCCGCCGCCACGAGGCGGAACCUUGGCGGAAUCAAUCUAGGGCUCCGGCGGAGCUGUUCUGUCGGGGACACUUCCCUCCGGGAGGGUGAAAUCAUCACCAACGUCAUCACCAAUGAUCCUCUCAUCGGGAUGCGGUCAAUCUCCAUCAACAUCUUCACCAGCACCAUCUCCUCUCAAAACCCUAGUUCAUCUCUUGUAUCCAAUCUUGUAUCAAAACCACAAAUUGGUACCUGUGGGUUGCUAGUAGUGUUGAUUACUCCUUGUAGUUGAUGCUAAUUGGUUUACUUGGUGGAAGAUCAUAUGUUCAGAUCCUUUAUGCAUAUUAUUACUCCUCUGAUUAUGAACAUGAAUAUGCUUUGUGAGUAGUUAUGUUUGUUCCUGAGGACAUGGGUGAAGUCUUGCUAUUAAUAGUCAUGUGAAUUUGGUAUUCGUUCGAUAUUUUGAUGAGAUGUAUGUUGUCUUUUCCUCUAGUGGUGUUAUGUGAACGUCGACUACAUGACACUUCACAUUUAUUUGGGCCUAGAGGAAGGCAUGGGGAAGUAAUAAGUAGAUGAUGGGUUGCUAGAGUGACAAAAGCUUAGACCCUAGUUUAUGUGUUGCUUCGUUAGGGGCUGAUAUGGAUCCAUAUGUUUAAUGUUGUGGUUAGGUUUACCUUAAUACUUCUUUUGUAGUUGCGGACGCUUGCAAAAGGGGUUAAUCAUAAGUGGGAUGCUUGUCCAAGUUAGGGCAGUACCCAAGUACCGGUCCACCCACAUAUCAAAUUAUCAAAGUACCAAACGUGAAUCAUAUGAACGUGAUGAAAACUAGCUUGACGAUAAUUCCCAUGUGUCCUCGAGAGCUCCUUUAUCAUUAUUAGAAAUUGUCCAGGCUUAUCCUUUGCUACAUAAAGGAUUGGGCCACCUUGCUGCACUUUAUUUACUUUAUUUACUUGUUACUCGUUACUAUUUAUCUUAUCACAAAACUAUCUAUCACCUACAAUUUCAAUGCUUGCAGAGAAAACCUUACUGAAAACCACUUAUCAUUUCCUUAUGCCCCUCGUUGGGUUCGACACUCUUCCUUAUCGAAAUAACUACGAUUGAUCCCCUACACUUGUGGGUCAUCAUGUACACAUGGGGUUUACGAGUUCAGGCCCUUCUCGGUGGAAGUAAUAGCCCUACGUCUCAGUGCCGGAGGCGGUCGAUUGGAUUAUAUGUGUGUGAUGUUACAGGGGGUGCGAACCCUUGUGCUAGAGGAGGGGGUGGCUUAUAUAGAGUACGCCAGGACCCUCACCGUCCUCCAUUCCAAGAGACUUAAUGUACAUAAAGUGGAGGUGUUACUGGUAACGCCAGCCUUAAAUGCUGUGAAUGACCUUAAAGACUACGGCGUGAACGCCUGCCCGUUGCAAUGCUGAGUGACUCCUGGUCUUCGGUAGGUCGAGUGAUUCCUUGGAUGGUCGAGUGACUGUAAGUAGGAGGACUCCCGAGUGACAUGACUGGUCGAGUGGAUUGCACUCGACAUCUUUGACUGGGGGUCUCUUACUACUUCUUGGACUUCUUAUCUUCUAGGGUAGUGACCUUGGGUAGGACGUAUAGGUCAGGCCUAUGACCCUACCCCAGGUUUGUAUCCUCAUCAGUAGCCCCCGAAUGGAUUAAGGUUCGAGUGGAAAGUAGGUUGAAGUUGAACUUGUUCUGAGCUUUGCACCUUCGCGAGUGUUUUCUGCAAGAUGGAAAACUCACGUUGGUACUUCAACACCGACUCAGCUGCCUUGAUCCAUUUUGAGAGUUGUCGACUGAACUUAUGACAUCAUCUGCCGAGUGUUGUAUUAGAGUGCAGGAUCUUUGGCGCGAUUGACUGCUGUGUAUCCCGGAUUUCACGGGAUACGAAAUUUCGGGGAAGCGCGCAGGACAAGGAGCGCCAAAGCGGGCGGAGCGGAUAAACAGUGAUGCCUCAAUUUCUGUGCCGCCUUUUUUGCCAUGUACGUUGCGCGUGACUGUUGUGGGAUUUGACAGGAUAGCCUGGUCCCAUGCGUCAGCCACUCGGAAGCAACCCUUUACAAGGCGACGGGGCCGAGGCGUCUGCACUGUGCACGCCUGUUUCUCCUUCUUCUUCCUCCUCUUCUCCACCGCACCGGGCUCUUCUGCUCUCGAUGCUGCCGCUCCGCCACCAUGGUGAAGGACAAGACGGCGGCGCUGGAGCGUGCAAAGAAGGCGACGGGGGCGGCGAAAGGCAAGAAGCAGAACCGCAGAUCGUCAUCACGCGCGGGGCUGCCGCCAGGCUAGAUCCAGGGCGAUUGGAUCCGGUCUUUGCUCCAACAAGAAAAUCUGGAUGAGCUGGCGGAGUCGGGACUGAUCGCCAAGGUAGCGGCAAGGUUGCCCGAGGGGGAGAUGGAGUCGCAGCCUCGACCGGGUGAGUGCGUACUGCUCGCCACCCACGUCGACCGGGGUUUUUCGCUCCCUCCGCACCCCUUCUUCCGAGGAUUCCUGAAUUUCUUUGGUGCUCAACUGCACCAUUUUUCUCCCAACACCAUCACGUAUCUGGCCACGUUCGUGUCGAUGUGUGAAAACUUUUGGGGGUGUCGACCGCACUGGGGUCUUUUCAAACACAUCUUCACCAUCUGAUCCCAGUCGGUCAAGAAAGAAAAAAGAGUGACUCAAAGACCCAUUUCAUCCAAAUGUGUGGGGGCUUAGGUAUUCAGAAAAGGCAUAGGAGUUCUUUCCCUGCUAUGACUCUCCCUGAAUCGAUUAGAGGCUGGCAGUCGACCUGGUUCUACUGCCAGGACGUCGCAGCUCCAGGUCAGUCGACUGGCCUUCCCCACUUCACAUUCGACCGUGUUCAGACUCCUUCUCCACUCAAAGUGACUGCUGCCGAGAACGUGGAGACGAAGAUGUCGGUGGAGAAAGUGGUCCAACUUAUUAAUGAGGGUGUCACCAGCCUGGACCUGCUGGAAGUGUUCCUCAGUCGACGCAUCUAGCCUCUUCAGGCUCGUGACCAUCCUAUGUGGUUGUACUCUGGACCUGAAGACACCGCUCGGGUCCAUCCAGAGGAAGUGCCGUCCAAGACCGUGGAUAUGUGGUUGAAGAGUAUCAUAGGCAAUCAGGACAACCCUAGAGGAUCCAGGCGAGUCAUCCCCUUCACAGACGACAAUCCGCCCGACAAGGUAUGCUCUUUAUUCCGACUGCCUGGCGUAUAUGUUCCGACCGUACUUGAUGUCGACUGACUUUUACUCGACUUUUUGUCUUGUAGGUUUUCACUGAGAUGUAUUCGAUGCCCAACAGCAAACAAGCUCUGGAGCAGGGCCUGGAGGGAGAGGCCAGCACAGAAGAAAGUGGCGACUGGGAGUCUUCAGAUGAAGAGGAGGAGGAGGAGAGCGAGGAGUCGGACGACAAGGAAGAAGUCGACUCGCCGCCGCGUUCCGAGCGCCGAUCCAAGCAGCAACAUGACCCGGCAGGCGGGCACGGGAAGAACGUGGCUCCGAGUACCCACGCUCAGAAGCGCACUCGGACGUCGACUCCGGAGCCGACGGAGAAGGUCACCAAGCAGCCCAAAGUUGCUCCUCUCAAGGCUCGGAAGACUUUGCCGCAGAUCAAGAUGGACGUCCCUGUUGCUUCGGGGUGAGUAUCUCACUUGUGGUUAUGCAGACCCACUGAAAUUUCUGUUCUGACCAACUGGAUCAUGUAUCUUUCUAUUCCCACCUCUGCUGCUACUGACAUGGACAUCGACAAAGCACCAGGAGACGAGGAGGCCACCUCUCGGGCUGGUAAGUCCGUUCGACCAGGUUUCAUUUAGUCAAGUAGGUCGUCAAUCGGCUGAAUUUCUGAUAUUUCUCCCUUUCUGUAGUUCCGCAAGAGAUCGUCGUGCUCCCUGAUGAAGCAGAAGAAGAAGCGCCUUUACAGGAGAGGAGGAAGAAGAGUGGGAGCUCAAGUAGGAGGAGGCUUGAAGUUCAAGUCCCUCAGUCGACGCCGGCGCUUGAGGCGGUGGUCGAACGUUCCGGAGAACCGGUUCAGACCAAUGUCACAUUCGCCAACCCGCUGACAACUGAUCGUCCGUCGGGAUCGACUGCACAGACUCCUGCCGCUCCAGUGCAUCCCCACGCGUCUGACCCAGUAACAGCUUCGACUGCCUUGGAGCCAUCACUCUUUGUCGCGUAUCAGACCCCGGACGACUCGCCGAGUGCCGCCAGGGAGGCUCUUCGCCAGGUGAACCUUGUCAUGGAGCAGGUGAAGGUGAUGCACGAGGCUAGUCAGGUGGCUUACAACGCCAGCACUGCGCUUCAGACCAAUGUUCAGGUUAGCAAACUCCGACUGAACUUCUGAAUGUUGUUUUAUAUCCGAUCACCCACUGGGGUGUGCCUUUGUUUAGAGUUUAGGAAAUCUUCCACUCCACUCGACUCGAGCUGAGUCUCAGUAAACUAUCUGGAUCAGUGGGGGCACGCCGAGUGCACCCACUGGGUGUAGUCCCCGAGACCACAGUCGACUGUUGUGAGUUGACUAAGGUCUUAGAAUCGACUCUCUCUCUCUCUUUUUUUUGACUCACGCUGGGCAGACCCUGCUGAGUAUUGAUCUGAACCAGUGGGGGUAUGCUAAGUGCACCCACUGGGUGUAGUCCCCGAGACUACUGUUGAAUAUUUGAUUCGGCAGUAGUCUUAAGAGUAAUUUUUGACUGUCACUGUCUCUUAUUUCUGUCGACUGACAUAACUCUCUUGUUGGCUGCAGAGGUCUUGUGAUCUUGGAGCUCGACUUUCGAGUUAAAGAAGAAGCAUAUCAGCGUUGAACUUGAUCUUGAACUCGCAAAGAAGAACCUCAAGACUUCUCAACAAGAGACGGCCAUCAUGGGAGGUAACCAUUUGACUGUCUUGCCUACUUAGUAGCUCGCACCUUCCACUGCUUUUUCUUUCAGUCUCUUUGAACCGAGUGACUUCACACAAGCAGAUGUGCAUAGUGAAAGCCGCCAACUUCAGGCUCGUCUGAAGAGUGUUGUUUCUUUAGAGAGAAUGAAGGAAGCUUUGGAGAAGAAGGACUUGGACCUUGCUGCUGCUCAGAAGGAAGCACGUGAGAAGACAACGCUUGAGGAACAGAAGCUGGCUUCGGUCGGCAAGUUGGAAGAGGAGAACAGGAAGUUGAAGACCGUCAUCUCAGAAGCCAAUCGAGAAGUAGAGCAACUGAAGAAGGACAAGGAGAACCUGACCACUGAAGUUGGAGGCCUCAGAGCCAAGACCGGCAAGUUAGAGUCCUAUCUGGGACAACUUGCCGUGAAACCGGUUCUGAAGGCUGAAGGUAUGGUCAGUCGACUGGUUAAUUGUGUCGAUUGAAGUAUGUUGUAAUAUUGUCGACUCAUUGUUUUUCGCGAUGGAACAGAGCUUUGUUAGGACUUUGAAGCUGAAACCGGACGGGUCGAGACAGGUCUCGACCCCAUCAAUUGUCUCGUGAAAGAUGGAGUUGCAAUGAACUUGCUUCAAUUGGAAUCUCGCUUGGACGAAGUUGUUGACUAUGUGGCUCGACUGAAGGCUGCUAUGACCCGAGUGGACGCCGAACUCUGGCCUCAGGAGGAACUUUCUUAAGACCUCGAGUCACUGAUGACUCGACUCAAUCAGAUUCUUGGCCGAGUGCAAGAGUGGAAGAAGUCAUCUGCUCGUUGUGGUGCUGAUGUCGCCUUGUCAUUGGUUCGAGUGCACUGCAAGGAGGCUAGAGAAGACAAGCUGGCGGCCCUCAAGGUAGUGAAUACUAAGAAGCAUUCCUUCCAGUCCUUCAUGGACACUGUCGGUGUCAAAACCGGCGGAUCUCGGGUAGGGGGUCCCGAAUUGUGCGUCUAGGCGGAUGGUAACAGGAGACAAGGGACACGAUGUUUUACCCAGGUUCGGGCCCUCUUGAUGGAGGUAAAACCCUACAUCCUGCUUGAUUAAUAUUGAUGAUAUGGGUAGUACAAGAGUGGAUCUACCACGAGAUCAAGGAGGCUAAACCCUAAAGCUAGCCUAUGGUAUGAUUGUUGUAAUGUAUGUUGUGUCCUACGGACUAAAGCCCUCCGAUUUAUAUAGACACCGGAGAAGGCUAGGGUUACACAGAGUCGGUUACAAUGGUAGGAGAUCUACAUAUUCGUAUUGCCAAGCUUGCCUUCCACGCCAAGGAAAGUCCCAUCCGGACACGAGACGGAGUCUUCAAUCUUGUAUCUUCAUAGUCUUGGAGUCCGGCGGACGAUGAUAGUCCGGCUGUCCGGACACCCCCUAGUCCAGGACUCCCUCAGUAGCCCCUGAACCAGGCUUCAAUGACGAUAAGUCCGGCGCGCAUAAUGUUCGGCAUUGCAAGGCGGGUUCCUCCCUCGAAUAAUCCAGAGGAGAUCAUGAACACCAGGAUAGUGUCCGGCUCUGCAAAAUAAAUUCCACAUUCCACCGUAGAGAGAAUAAAAUGUACACAAGUCCAAUCUGCUGAUGUAUUAUGCGGCAUGACAUCACACCACUACCAAGCCUCUACUUGAAUCGUUUUUUAUUAUACCACCUCAGCACGUUUAGCGAAGCAGUUUCCUUGGCACGUCCUGUCGAAGCAGAGAUCGUGUUCCCCUUAUUCCGGGAUUCUCAUCAAUACGGACGUGGGUAACCCAACCGCGCCAUUGAUGGUGGCGCUUGGGAGAUAAGAGAGUUCUACCAGGCCGGUGGGGGACACAUAAUCUUCGUCCGCCUAUAUAUAAGGGAUAAGGAUUUACCUUCUCACCUACGCCUUCUUCCUCCUUUGCUUAUCCAUCUCCGCUCACUCAAGCUCCAACGCCCAAGCUCGCGCAUCCCGCCUCGACCUUCUCCGACCAUGUCCGGAGCGGGAGGAAAAUGGUGGGCCUCCACCGUUAAGAAGGAGCACAUCACCAAGCUGCGCAGCGCCGGAUACCUUUCCGACGACAUCGCGCAUCGGCUGCCCGACGAGGGGCAGCUCAUCCCCACCCACGGGCCCCAUGAGAGGGUUGUUUUCCUCCCCCACUUCCUCCGCGGACUGGGCUUUCCACUUCAUCCUUUUGUCCAGGGGCUCAUGUUUAGUACGGUCUGGAUUUCCACGAUCUGGCGCCGAACUUCAUCCUCAACAUCUCGGCGUUUAUCGUCGUGUGCGAGGCCUUCCUCUGCAUCCAGCCCCACUUCGGCCUGUGGCUCAAGACCUUCAACGUCAAGCCGAAGGUUGUGAAGGGCACGCAAGCGGAAUGCGGAGGCGCCAUGUUGGGCAAGUUGCCCAACGUCCUUUGGCUCGAAGGGGCCUUCAUGGACUCCGUUAAGGGGUGGCAAUCGGGGUGGUUUUACAUCACUGAGCCGCGCGAACCUACGUGGGCGGCGGCCCCCGAGUUCAGAUCUGGCAUCCCCACGCAGCUCACCUCUUGGAAAGAGAAGGGCUUGUUGUGAGGCAAUCCGAAGGAGUUGACAGGACUCCGAGCCUGUAUCCAGAAGCUGGUGAACAAUAAGCUCAGGCUCGUCGACGUGGUCCAAGUCAUGCUCAUCCGCCGGAUCCUCCCAUGCCAAGAACGGGCAUUCAAUCUGUGGGAGUUCAAUCCAGAACAGCACCAGGCGCUAAGCGGGCUCUUCAACACGACGUACGAAGGCGCCUGGAGGGUGCUGUUUAAGGGCGCCGAAGCCCCCGCAUCCGCGACGGAAGAUCACGGAUUUCGCUCGCAGCAUCCAGCUGACGAGGUAAGUGAUUCAACCCCUUUACGGGACACUUGUGGUAAAUAGAUUGAUUCUAAGAGGGUUUCAAUCUCUCUUUUCCUUUGGCAGGAAUGGAUGGAGAAGGCCGAGCAGCUCGUCUGUCCGGCUCCCAUGCCAGAAGACCCAGUGAACGCCCGUCUAGCGGGGCUGCUGGUUCCGGCACCGCACGUGGUGCCGGAGAAGAAGGCCAAGAAGGUGGCCACGGGGACUCGAAAGAGUUCCCGUAAUCAGGCGUCCGACGACGAGGCGGACUCCUCCCCCGAAGACGAGGAGGAGGAAGAAGACUCUCUCCCGGAGGAGGGAGAGAGGAAGAGGAAGGCUUCCCCAAUAGGGGAGGCCGAAGGGUCCAAGAGGGGGAGAACUAUUCCCCUGGACAGCUCCGCCAACACCAACGCUGGCGAAGAGGAGUGGCCUUCAAGGGCCAGGCCUCCGGCGAGAUCGUAAGUAUCCGGAUCCCUGUAUAAUCUGAAAUUUCUUUCGUGCCACAUAGUGCCUUUCUAAUGCCGCAUACUGCCUAUAGUCCGGCCGACGAUGAUCUCCCUGCUUCAUCGAGCGGGUCGUUGGCAGCGUCGGAUGUGGAGUCCAUCCCGACUGCCUCCACCCCUCGCGCCGACGAGGACGCCGAGGUGGGAUCCCGGAAAGGGACCCAUCAGGAGGAGGCCCCGGAGGCGCCGCAAGGCAGCCUUUCGGACUAUGCGCCGGAUUCUACUCCGGAACCUGCAGUGGUUCCAGAGUUCGGCAGGCGGCCCCUUCGCAAGAAGGACAAGACCGUGACACCGGCGGCCCCCGUCCAACCGGAGGCGCCGGACAACUUGUUGGAGGCGCUCAAAGGUGCUUCCAUCGAGGAAGAACACCGCACUAUCAUGAGUGCGGUGAUUCAGAAGGUUCAGCUCACCAAGAGCGGGCUGACCGAAGCCUGCAGCAGCCUUCUAACAGGCUUUGAGGUAAGAAGUUAAAAUUAUGUAAUGUAAUACCGCAUAGACACUAGCCCCUGAUGCUCGGUCCGGUGUUCGGAAAGAAAAGCCAGACUGAGGAUCUAAAGAGAUAUACGCAGGGUUGCUUGAAAUAUGUCAAUAUGGGUUUGCAGGCUGCGCUGCUGACCUCUGCCGCACUAACUGCGGAGGUUGGUGCAUUGAAGCAGGAUCUCGAGCGGUCCGAGCAAGAGCUCGGCCAUGCCAAGAAGCAGCUCGAGGACAAAGAAGGUGAGUAACACCACUUUGAAGAUUUACCUUACAGAAAAGGAUUUAGGUUGCAAAAUUUUUUUAACAAGGAUAAUAUGGGUAUUGCAGGGGCCACAAACGAGGUGGCAGCCCUGAAGGAGGCUGUGUCCGCGGCCGAACGCAGUGUGGCCGCGGAACGGGCGAAGCAAGAAAAGUAGGAGGCACAGGUGGCGGAAGUGCGGCAAGAGCUCCAGGCUCUCAUGGAGAAGCAUGAGAGCUUGGAGCGUGACUCCAAGACUCGAGAGUCCGAGCUUGCCUCGGCUCUCGAAAGUGCCAAGUCCGCCAAGGCCGAGGCCCGUAAGGCCCUUCAGGAGGUUGAAGAUGUAAAGAAGAUAGCGGCGGGUAAGGCAUUUUUCAUGCAAAGCAAGCAUGUUAAUGUAAACUACCUGACACUUACCCGCAUUCGGAGCUCUCCAGGGGCGUUUGCAGAUCUGCCGCGUAGUGUGUCCGAUGCCGCCGCAUUCUAUCGUGGCGAGGAGGGGAGCUCGACGGAGAAGGUCUUCUGGUCUCAGUACGCUGAGGCCGGCCAUCCGAUGCCCCCAAGCGACCAACUGAAGCAGCUGGUCGAACUCCACAAGGUAGCUGAGGAGGCCAUGAAGGGCCUUAUAGUCCGACUGUGGCCUGGACAGGCCGUGCCUGGGAGCUACUUCGGCCUCGUGCGGCGGCUAGUGGAUGCGUGCCCCUGGGUGGAGGUCAUCAAGCGCUCCGCCUGUAUUGAAGGUGCUCGUCGGGCCCUUGCCCGCACAAAGGUGCAUUGGGCAGGCUGGAUGCGGAGAAGCUUCUCACUGACCCACCGCCACCGGGCAAGGAGUAUCGUACGCCCGAAAUGUAUUAUAAAACUGUCUUGAAGGGAGCCCGCGAUAUUGCGGAUGAAUGCCCUAGAGAUGUAAUUUUUGAGUAAACUCGCUAUGUAUUAUCCUGUGCGCUGAAAACUUUGUUCAUGUGCGCCUUAAGCAACGCUUGUUUAAUUUAAAAUAUUACCUUCUGUGCGGCCGUUUAUAAAGUCUGAAAGAUGGCAAGUCGUUGGCUUCAGCCCCCGAGCCACAAGUGCUGGGGUGUUCGGGAUAAACUUGAGCACUCUUGUUCCCAUUUUUGGGUCCAUCUAGGGAGGCGCUCAACACAACGAACAAGGCAACCGGACUUAUAAUGCUUGAACACUCUCACUUAGCCAUAGAAUUCUAUAAUUUUAAAUUUCGGUGAAGCCCCUGGUAUUCGGAAGACCGAAUCCGGGGCGCUAUCCACGCCUUCGUCGGACAUUAUCCAGAACUUCGCUCGAAGCGGCGUGAGUCUUUAAGGACCCAAAAAGACCUCUCAAACAGCGACCAGUCUCUCGCCUUAUCAUGCCGGUCAGUUUUAGCUUUCUCCACUGAGGCGCUCGCCCGGCUCAACCGGGGCGCAAUCGCAGUGGUUCUCCCAGUGCCACCUUAGCCGACAGAACGGAACGUAAGGCACCAAAACAUGGGAGCCGGGCAAACCCAACUAUUGACCCAAGACAUGAUUCGGAGCCGAUUCAUAUAAUGCUAUAAGUUCGGGGUGCCGCACUUAUGAAAGUGUUCGGACUUAUAACACCAUAAUGCGGGGAACAUAAGCCCCUGGUGUAUUAGGCCGUACCAAAAUAUACGGGUGCAGGAUGUCAUGUAAUGAACAUAUAUAUGUAUAAAAAGUAAUGUAAUUGCAGUCAAAAAGUGCUGCAUUAUUUAUUAAAGGAAGUCUGCUAUGAGUGCGGACUGAUACAAAUAGUGCGGUAAGCAAGGGAUUUGGACUAAUUAAACAUGUCCCCCUCCAGGGAUGAGCUUCGGACUUGGUGUAUAUAAUCGAAUUUAAUGCUCGUAAUUGAGACCACCUAAGUGUUCAUCGCAGCCUUCUUUCUUCCCUGGCUGUUGCAUCGUGAGUUCGGCAGGUUCACCGCCGGACAGGGCCUCUGGUUAAUGGAGUCAUGUGUAUACAAAGAAGGAAAAUAAUAAUAAAAAAGAGUGGGACACUUGCGAGCCCCUGGUGUGGUCGAGCCGCACUCUAGGUCCAUUGUGGUCGUGCCCCUUCCCCUGCGCCCAUGGUAUCUCCAAAGCGUAAUGAUGUACGCGGAGGGUUGUUCUUGCAAUCAUGCGAGGGUGGGGGUUAGGGCCGCAUUGCUACGCGUGCUCUGAUCGUGCCAGGUGGUAUUGGUUGGUAUUGCUUCGGGCGCGUUUUGCUGUAUCCGGCCGUUUAACGGCCAGACUCGAAAAUUGCCUUAGAAGGCUGCUCUGUACUUCUGCCGCGAGAGCCGCUGUAUGUUCCUCCGUUCGGAGGGAGCGUUCCGUAUUUCCGUUGACCGUGAUGACUCCACUAGGGCCUGGCAUCUUGAGCUUGAGGUAUGCAUAAUGCGGCACCGCGUUGAACUUUGCAAACACGGUUCGUCCGAGCAGAGCGUGAUAGCCGCUGCGGAACGGGACUAUGUCGAAGAUUAACUCCUCGCUCCGAAAAUUGUUUGGGGAUCCGAAGACCACUUCCAGUGUGACUGAGCCUGUACAAUUGGCUUCCACACCUGGUAUGACACCUUUAAAGGUUGUCUUUGUAGGUUUAAUCCUUGAGGGGUCUAUGCCCAUCUUGCGCACUGUAUCCUGAUAAAGCAGGUUCAGGCUACUGCCGCCGUCCAUCAGGACUCUCGUGAGGUGAAAUCCCUCGACGAUUGGGUCUAAAACCAAUGCGGCAAAUCCGCCAUGGCGUAUGCUGGUCGGAUGGUCUCUUCGAUCGAAAGUGAUCGGACAAGAAGACCAUGGAUUGAACUUCGGGGCGACUGGCUCCAUCGCAUAGACGUCCCUUAGUGCACGCUUCCGCUCCCUCUUGGGUAUAUGGGUUGCGUAAAUCAUGUUCACCGUUCGCACUUGUGGGGGGAAACCCUUCUGUCCUCUAUUGUUCGGCGGCCGGGUCUCUUCCUCGUCGUCGCUGUUUAGCCCCUUGUCAUUGUUUUCGGCAAUUAACUUGCCUGCCUGUUUGAACACCCAACAAUCUCUGUUGGUGUGAUUAGCUGGCUUUUCAGGGGUGCCAUGUAUCUGGCAUAAGCGGUCGAGUAUUCGGUCCAAGUUGGACGGACCCGGAGUGGUUCUUUUGAAUGGCUUCUUCCGCUGACCGGGUUUAGAGCCUCGGAAUCCGGCGUUGACUGUCGUAUCCUCCUUAUCGUCGCCGUUAAUGCGGCGUUUAUUUUUGCUUCGACGUGACCUGUCGUUGUGGUCCUUAGUAUCCGGACUGCCAGAAUUUUUAUUGAGGUUGUUGCUGCGAGCUAGCCAGCUAUCCUCUCCCGCGCAAAAGCGGGUCAUUAAUGAUGUGAGGGCUGCCAUGGAUUUCGGCUUUUCCUGUCCCAGGUGCCGGGCUAGCCACUCGUCGCGGAUGUUAUGUUUGAAGGCUGCGAGGGCCUCUGCAUCCGGACAGUCGAUGAUUUGGUUUUUCUUUGUCAAGAACCGUGUCCAGAAUUGUCUGGCCGAUUCCUCUGGCUGCUGAAUUAUGUGGCUUAGGUCAUCGGCGUCUGGUGGCCGCACAUACGUGCCCUGGAAAUUGUCGAGGAAUGCGGCUUCCAGGUCUUCCCAACACCCAAUUGACUCUGCGGGCAAGCUGUUAAACCAAUGUCGCGCUGGUCCUUUAAGCUUGAGUGGGAGAUAUUUGAUGGCAUGGAGAUCGUCGCCGCGGGCCAUAUGGAUGUGAAGGAGAUAAUCUUCGAUCCAAACCGCGGGGUCUGUUGUGCCAUCGUAGGAUUCGAUGUUUACGGGUUUAAACCCUUCAGGGAUUUGAUGAUCCAUUACUUCGUCGGUGAAGCAUAGCGGGUGUGCGGCGCCUCUAUAUUGAGCAAUAUCACGACGCAGCUCGAGAGAGCGUUGUCUGCUGUGUUCGGUCCGGCCGGGGUUAUUGUAUCCGGCGCGACGAUAUUCGUCAUGGGUCGUGGGGCGCCCACGUGAUCCGUAGAUGGAUCUGGAUUGCCUUGCUUUGUCCUCCAAUACAUCUCGCAGGUCCGGCGCGUUCCCUCUUGGCUUCGUACUUUUGGAGCGAUGCCGGGGUACGGUCUUGGUUGAGGGCCUGGAUGCCUCUCCGUCACGACCACGGGGUGGUCGGUCAGCCGUAUCGUGCGCUGGUGAUGAAGGUAUGUAUGCUUCUUCCUCUAAUCGGGGGAGCAACUUGCGUCUUGGGUAGCUUUUGGAGGGGCGUUCGAGUUUAAACUCUUCGGCCACGAGGACCUCGGUCCAUCGAUCGGCCAGCAGGUCCUGGUCAUCUUGAAGCUGCUGCUGCUUUUUCUUUAGGCUAUUUGCCAUGGCGAUAAGCCUGCGUUUGAAAUGCUCUUGUUCGACGGGAUCCUCGGGCACGACGAAUUCGUCGUUGUUGAGGCUUGCCUUGUCUUCGGAGGGAGGUAUAUAGUUAUAAUCCUCGACCUCUUCGUCUGCCGCCCUCUCGUGAGGGCUUGCUUCUGCAUCCUCCUGCGCUGAGUCUUGCUGGAGGGGAUUAUCUUCGGCACUCUUUGGGGUAUUAUUAUCUCCUGUGCCGGAAUCUCCAUUCUUGCUGUGGCGGGAUUUAGAGCGGCGCCGCUGACGCCGGCGCUUGGGCUGUUUCUUUAAGGAAUCUGCCUCCGCUGCUUCUUCGCCGUCCCCGUCUUUUGGGGUGUCCACCAUGUAUAUGUCGUAUGACGAGGUGGUUUUCCAGUGCCCUGUAGGCGCUGGUUCCUGUUCGUCUCCGGCAUCGUCGUCCAUAGCGUCGAUGUCUUCGGAGUCGUAGUCUAGCAUGUCGGUAAGAUCGUCGACAGUGGCUACAAAGUGGGUGGUGGGUGGGCUCUGAAUUUCUUCGUCGUCCGUAUCCCAACCAUCCUGGCCAUAAUCCGGCCAGGACUCUCCAGAUAACGAGAGAUGCUUUAGCGAAUUUAGGAUAUCGCCAAAGGGUGAGUAUUGGAAGAUGUCUGCGGCGGUGAACUCCAUGACCGGUGCCCAAUCAGAUUCGAUUGGCAGGGGCGUGGGAGGUUCGGAGUCCGGCAGGGAGUCCGGCACCUCGGAGUCACGAGCUUUGCAAGGGACAAGGUUAGUGUUCGGCUCCAUCGCCGUGGAAGUUGGAGCCCCCGAGGCGGUGUCCAACCACCGGUCCUCGAUCUGGGCGAUCGGCUCCGGUCUAAGGGCCGGAGCGGAUUCUUGUGCGGCCACCAAGGCACUGUUCGGCGGCAGAGCUAGAUCGUGCCCAUCGUAACAGUGUGGCGCGCUUGGCUGUGGCUCGAGCCCGUCGAAGAUCAAGUCUCCGCGGACGUCGGCCGUGAAGUUUAGGCUUCCGAAUCUGACCUGAUGGCCAGGGGCAUAGCUUUCGAUCUGCUCCAGAUGGCCAAGUGAAUUAGCCCGCAGUGCGAAGCCGCCGAAUAAGAAGAUCUGUCCGGGGAGAAAAGUCUCGCCCUGGGCAGCGUUGUUGAUUGAAGACGCCAUCGAGCCUAUCGGUGACGACACAGAGGAACUCUCAAUGAAAGCACCAAUGUCGGUGUCAAAACUGGCGGAUCUCGGGUAGGGGGUCCCGAACUGUGCGUCUAGGCGGAUGGUAACAGGAGACAAGGGACACGAUGUUUUACCCAGGUUCGGGCCCUCUUGAUGGAGGUAAAACCCUACGUCCUGCUUGAUUAAUAUUGAUGAUAUGGGUAGUACAAGAGUGGAUCUACCACGAGAUCAAGGAGGCUAAACCUAAAGCUAGCCUAUGGUAUGAUUGUUGUAAUGUAUGUUGUGUCCUACGGACUAAAGCCCUCCGGUUUAUAUAGACACCGGAGAAGGCUAGGGUUACACAGAGUCGGUUACAAUGGUAGGAGAUCUACAUAACCGUAUUGCCAAGCUUGCCUUCCACGCCAAGGAAAGUCCCAUCCGGACACGGGACGGAGUCUUCAAUCUUGUAUCUUCGUAGUCUUGGAGUCCGGCGAAUGAUGAUAGUCCGGCUGUCCGAACACCCCCUAGUACAGGACUCCAUCAGACACCUUCCUUGAGGGAGCCACUCGUAUUGCCGACAGCAUCGACCUUGACAGCUUCUGCGAUCCAGCCAGUCCUUCUCCCGCCGAGUGACUGAAAAACAUUAUGCUUCACCCUCAUUUGCCUCGGAAUGUCGAGUGAUUUUGUAAUCGUUAAAACUCCUUCAGGCCUGACGCCCGAGUACUUUAAUCUGCGGUUAGGAACCUUUGGACUUAUCUUUGAAUAUGUCGUGUUUAUCUUCGAGUGAUUUUGUUCUUCUCUCGGAUUGCUUUUUGUUCGUUUGAUGCAGCUUCCGUAGAAGAAUCCGCAGUCGACCUGUUGGACGUGCCUUGAACAGUAUUGAUCAGCUCAUCAGCAAGGCACUCAGCAAUGGUCUUGACGUUCCUGUCAUCAGUUUGCCUUGGCACCAACCGUUGGAUGGUCCUUUUGACAGUGCUCACAAUCUCGUNNNNNNNNNNNNNNNNNNNNNNNNNNNNNNNNNNNNNNNNNNNNNNNNNNNNNNNNNNNNNNNNNNNNNNNNNNNNNNNNNNNNNNNNNNNNNNNNNNNNNNNNNNNNNNNNNNNNNNNNNNNNNNNNNNNNNNNNNNNNNNNNNNNNNNNNNNNNNNNNNNNNNNNNNNNNNNNNNNGACCCGCACCACCUGGCGGGAAUGGUCAGCUUAUCAGCGAGGCAUUCAACAAUGGUCUUGACGUUCCUGAAAGUGGCUCGCCUUGGCAACACGCUCAAUCUCGUCCUUCUUCUUGAUGGUUCAACUCUGAGGUGGGGGUCGUGGUCGACCCGCACUUUGCUGUCCUUGUGGAUUUAGAUGGAGCGUAUGGCUAAGUCCUCGAGCGAGACGAUCAGUUUUCACUCGAAAUGAUUUUAUAAACUUAGGCGAGUACUAGACUGCAGCUAAGCCCCCGAGUGGGAGGACUGCUCACCACUCGGUAGGAUUUUUCAAACUUAGGCGAGUACUAGACUGCAGCUAAGCCCUCGAGUGGGAGGAUUGCUCACCACUCGGUAGGACUUUUCAAACUUAGGCGAGUACUGGACUGCAGCUAAGCCCCCGAGUGGGAGGAUUGCUCACCACUCGGUAGGAUUUUUUAAACUUAGGCAAGUACUGGACUGCAGCUAAGCCCCCGAGUGGGAGGAUUGCUCACCACUCAGUAGGAUUUUUCAAACUUANNNNNNNNNNNNNNNNNNNNNNNNNNNNNNNNNNNNNNNNNNNNNNNNNNNNNNNNNNNNNNNNNNNNNNNNNNNNNNNNNNNNNNNNNNNNNNNNNUCACCACUCGGUAGGAUUUUUCAAACUUAGGCGAGUGCUGGACUGCAGCUAAGCCCAUGAGUGGGAGGAUUGCUCUCACAAUCUCGUCCUUCUUCUUGACGGUGCAGCCCCGGGGGGAGGUCGUGGUCGACCCGUACCGUUUGGUAGGACCUUUUAAACUUAGGCGAGUACUGGACUGCAGCUAAGCCCCCGAGUGAGAGGCUGGCUCACCACUCUGUAGGAUUUUUUAACACUUAGGCGAGUACUGGACUGCAUCUAAGCCCCCCGAGUGAGUGACUCGUUCACCACUCGGUAGGAUUUUUGUACUUAGGCGAGUACUGGACUACAGCUAAGCCCCCGAGUGAGAGGCUGGCUCACCACUCGGUAGGAUUUUUUAACACUUAGGCGAAACGGAUUCGCAGCUAAGCCUCCGAGUGAGAGGCUGGCUCGCCACUCGGUAGGAUUUUUAACACUUAGGCGAAACGGAUUCGCAGCUAAGCCUCCGAGUGAGAGGCUGUCUCGCCACUCGGUAGGAUUUUUAACACUAAGGCGAAAUGGAUUUGCAACUAAGCCUCCGAGUGAGAGGCUGGCUCGCCACUCAGUAGGAUUUUUAACACUUAGGCGAAACGGAUUCGCAACUAAGCCUCCGAGUGAGAGUCUGGCUCGCCACUCGGUAGGAUUUUUAACACUUAGGCGAAACGGAUUCGCAACUAAGGCACCCACUGGGUGUACACCCAGUGGGGUAUUUUAGAACAUGUAAAAAAUGAACAACAAUCAUUCCGAAGACUGUAAAAUCAUGUCUUUUGAUAAAAAGGUACUUCUUAUUACAUCUCAACAGUCUAAAUACUUUAAGAGUAAAAGGGGCAGAGCAGUUCCGCAUUCCAGGCGCGUGGCUCAUCUUUAUUGUGCUCGACGUUGAAAAGACGAUAUGCUCCGUUGUGGAGCACUUUGGUGACGACGAAAGGGCCCUCCCAAGCAGGAGCGAGCUUGUGCGUUUUCUGCUGGUCCACUUGAAGAACUAAGUCCCCUUCCUGAAAUGCCCGACCCCUUACAUUUUUGGCGUGGAAUCGACGCAGGUCUUGUUGAUAAAUGGUCGACUGGAUCGAGGCCAUCUCUCUUUCUUCUUCCAAGAGAUCGACUACGUCUUGCCGAGCUUGUUCUACUUCUUCUUCUGAGAAGAGCUCGACUUAGGGUUUAUUGUGGAGCAGAUCACUCGGGAGUACGGCUUCAGCUCCGUAGACUAAGAAGAAUGGAGUUCGUCCAGUCGACCGAUUAAGAGUUGUCCUCAAUCCCCAAAGUACUAAUGGAAGUUCAUCGACCUAGGCCCCUGCUUCAUGCUUGAGGUCACACAUCAACCAGGGUUUCAGUCCUUUGAGAAUCAAUCCAUUUGCUCUCUCAGCCUGCCCAUUAUACUGAGGAUGGGCAACCAAAGCGUAGUCGACCCUCGUGCCUUGGGAAGCACAAAAGGCUCUGAAUUCGUCAGAGUCAAAGUUCGACCCGUUAUCCGUGAUGAUGUUGUGCGGAACACCAUAUCUGAAUAUCAAUUCUCUGAUAAAACUUACAGUUGUACUUGCUUCAAGGUUUUUCAUGGGUUUGGCUUCGAUCCAUUUGGUAAACUUGUCGACUACCACCAGCACAUGGGUAAAUCCACUCCUGCCAGUCCUUAGAGGUCCAACCAUGUCCAAUCCCCAGACAAUGAAAGGCCAGAUGAGUGGAAUAGUCUUCAGAGCUGACGCAGGUUUAUGGGACAUGUUGGAGUAAAACUGACAGCCUUCACACUUGUCCACUAUUUCUUUUGCCAUCUCAUUGGCACGUGGCCAGUAAAAUCCGGCUCGUUAUGCUUUGGCCACGAUGGUCCGAGAGGACGCAUGGUGAUCAUAGGUCCCCGAGUGAAUAUCAUUGAGGAUCAUUCGGCCUUCUUCUGGCGUGAUGCACUUCUGGCAGACUCCAGUUACACUUUCUCUGAACAACUGACCUUUUAUCACGGUAAAGGCUUUAGAUCGUCAAACGAUCUGUCGAGCCUCUUCUUCAUCCUCUGGAAGUUCUUUCCUAAGAAUGUAUGCAAUGUACGGCACUGUCCAGUCGGGAGUGAUGACCAAAACCUCUAUGACUAAGUCGACCAAGGCUGGGAUUUCGACUUCAGUCGGAUCUAUGGCGCUCUUGGGCUGUGGGGGCUCUUCAGUGAAAGGAUCUUCCCAAACUGAAGGUGAAUGAAUAUGUUCCAAAAACACAUUGCUGGGUAUGGCAUCUCUCUUUGAACCUAUCUUUGUCAACUCAUCUGCAGCUUGAUUUUUCAGUUGGGGUAUAUGGUGAAGCUCCAACCCUUCAAACUUCUUUUCCAGCUUUCUUACUGCAUUGCAAUAGCCAGUCAUGGCUGGGCUCCUGACAUCCCACUCUUUCAACACUUGAUUAAUCACCAGAUUUGAGUUGUCGUAGACCAUAAGGCGACGGACGCCGAGUGAAAUGGCCAUACGUAACCCGUAUAAAAGUGCUUCAUAUUCAGCUUCAUUAUUGUAGGAAUCAAAAUGAAUCUGGAGAACAUAGCUAAGCUUGUCUCCACGGGGAGAUACCAAAACUACCCCAGCACCUGAACCAUUCAGCAUCUUGGAGGCAUCGAAGAACAUAGUCCAAUGCUCCGAGUGAACUUGAGUCGGCAAUUGCUGCUCAAUCCACUCGGCAAGGAAAUCUGCGAUUGCUUGGGACUUGAUAGCUUUCUUUGCCUCAAACUUGAUAUCCAAUGGGAGGAGUUCAAUCACCCAUUUUGCCACUCGACCAGUUGCAUCUCUAUUGUUCAGAAUUUCAGAUAGUGGUGUGUCGCUGACGACUGUAAUGGAGUGAUCAGAGAAGUAAUGUGCAACCUUCUUCAUGGUCAUGUAGAUUCCAUAGACAAGCUUCUGAUAGUGUGGAUAUCGUUGCUUGGAUGGAGUCAAACCUUCAGAGAGAUAAUAUACUAGGCGCUGAACCUUGUAAGCCUUUCCUUCUUCUUCUCUCUCAACCGUGAGUACCGUACUGACAACUUGUCCAGUGGCUACAAUGUAAAGCAGUAAAGGCUCUUUGCUGAUUGGCACAACGAGCACCGACUGGGUGGAGAGCAGGGUUUUGAGCUCUACAAAUGCUGCAUCAGCUUCUUCAGUCCACUCGAACUUAUCAGAUUUCUUCAUCAAUCGGUAAAGAGGUAAGGCCUUUCCAUCGAGAUGAGAAAUGAAUCGACUCAAGGCGGCCAAACAACCAGUCAGCUUCUGAACGUCAUGCACACGCACAGGGCGUUUCAUUCGGAGGAUGGUAUCAACUUUUUCUGGAUUGGCAACAAUCCCUCGUUCGAAAACGAGAAAACCGAGUAACUUUCCACCUGGAACUCCGAAUGUGCACUUUGACGGAUUAAGCUUGAUAUCGUACCUUCUUAGGUUGGCAAAGGUUUCUGCGAGGUCAGUCACUAGGUCGGAACCUUUGCGAGACUUGAUCACAAUGUCAUCCAUGUAUGCUUCCACAUUCCGACUGAUUUGAGUGAACAUGCACUUCUGAAUCAUUCUCAUGAAUGUGGCUCCGGCAUUUUUAAGACCAAAUGGCAUGGUGACAUAACAAAAGCACACGAAUGGGGUGAUGAAGGCUGUUUUUAUUUCGUCGGGACCAUACAGUCGGAUCUGAUGAUACCCGGAAUAUGCAUCUAAAAAAGACAAGCGUUCACACCCCACCGUCGAGUCAACAAUCUGAUCGAUGCGGGGGAGAGGGAAAUGAUCUUUCGGGCAGGCCUGAUUGAUAUGCUUGAAAUCAAUGCACAUAUAAAGUGAAUCAUCCUUCUUAGGGACCAUGACUACAUUGGCAAGCCACUCGGAGUGGUAUAUCUCACGGAUGAACUCUACUGCUAGGAGCCGAGCCACUUCUUUGCUAAUUGCUUUUCUCUUCUGUACGGUGGACCGCCGAAGAUGCUCUUUGACGGGUUUUACCUUGGGGUUGACACGAAAAUGGUGCUCAGCCAGUCCUCUGGGUACACCCGGCAUGUCAGAGGGUUUCCAUGCAAAGUUGUCCCAGUUAUCACGGAGGAACUGGAUGAGCGCUUCUUCCUAUUUGCUGUCGAGUGUCAUUGAUAUAUGAGUCGGUGCGGCAUUGGGAUCGGUCGGGUGAAUAUGAAUCGGCUUCGUUUCACCAGACGACUGAAAUGCAAAAUCCGUGGCGGGCUUCUUGGCUCGGAGCAAAUCACUCGGAUCUACAUUCUUCUGAUAUUCUUGGAAUUCAACUGCAGCCAUUUGCGCAUCGGCAAUUUUGGAACCUUUCUGGAAGCAUUCCUCUGCCUUCUGCCGAUUGCCAGUAACUGUGAUCACACCUUUGGGGCCAGGCAUCUUCAGCUUGAGGUACACGUAACAUGGUCGAGCCAUAAAACGUGCAUAGGCAGGCCUACCCAAAAUGGCAUGAUAAGCACUCUGGAAAUCCACGACUUCAAAUGUCAACUUUUCCUUACGGUAAUGCUUGGAAUCACCGAAAACCACGUCGAGAGCGAUCUGGCCGAGUGAUUCGGCUUUCUUUCCAGGGAUAACACCAUGGAAACUCAGAUUGCUCUCGCCAAGUUUGGACAUCAGAAUGCCCAUCCCCUUCAAGGUUUCAGCAUAAAGAAUAUUCAGGCCGCUACCACCGUCCAUCAGCACUUCAGUCAGUCUAGUGCCUCCGACCAUGGGGUCGACCACCAAUGCCUGCCUCCCGGGGGUGGGUACACGCGCAGGAUGGUCAGACUAGUCGAAUGUGAUGGCUGUCUGAGACCAUUUCAGGUAUGUGGUCGUCGUUGCCAGAGCGACCAUAUUCACUUCUCUAUUGAUAACUUUCAACCGACUCUUGCUCUCAACAUCAGCAAAAAAUCAUGAGGGUGGAAUUGACUUUGGAAUAACCGUCGUCUUCCUCUUCGUCCUCGUCUUUGUCCGACUCUUUCUCCUUCUCACCGGGCUAUUUUUCUCGGAACUGCUGGAUCAGGAGUCGACAUUUUCGAGUGGUAUGCUUAGGGUAAAUCAGAUUACCCUCUUCGUCCUUCUUCGUGUGGAUGUGACACGGUAAAUCCAACACAUCAUUUCCUGCUUGGUCCUUUACCUUCUUAGGGGGACAGGGCCCUUUAGGUUUUCCCUUAAACUUUCCUUGAGCCACUGCUGCAAUCUCACCGUGUGCUGCGGGCUCGGCCUUACGCUUCUGUUUCCGAUUGGAAUUACCUCCACCGGCCUCUUGGCCAACUGGUUUACUCUUCCCGCUAUGGAGUCGAUCCUCUUCUUCUCCGUUAGCGUACCGGGUGGCUAUUUCCAUCAUCCGAGUCAGAGUCAUAUCUCCAGUCCGACCGAACUUCAGGACCAACUCGCGGUAUUUGACGCCUUCCUUGAAGGCACACAUCGCCUGAUGCUCUGAUACAUUUUCAACGGUGUGAUGCAAAGUGGUCCACCUCUGAAUGAAACCCCUUAAAGUCUCACUCGGUUUCUGCACACAAUGCUGCAACUCUGUCAACCCUGCUGGCCGCUUGCAAGUGCCCUCAAAAGUUCUGACGAACACUCAAGCCAGCUCUUCCCAACUGUAUAUACUGCCUGGAGCUAACUGAGUCAACCACGCUCGGGCCGACCCUUCCAACAUCAAAGGAAGAUGUUUCAUUGCUACUUCAUCGUUCCCACCGCCAAUCUGCACAGCCACUCGGUAAUCUUCAAGCCAAGUUUCAGGCUUGGAUUCUCCAGUGAACUUACUGACUCCGGUCGCCAACCUGAAGUUGGGAGGAAUCACCGCUGCCCUGAUGGCUCUCCUAAAACACUCUAGACCAGAAACAUGCACUCUGCUGCCACUCGGACAAUCUCUGCCAGGGUCUUCUCUAUGCGCUCUGUUCCGGUCGACUAGACCUUGAACGAGGAUAGAUCUCGCAUCGAAGCCCGGUUCUCUUGGGUCGACUAGUGCUCUGUGCUCGCCACUGUGACGGCAUCUAUCAUCGUUCUGCCGAGGCACAUAUGAUGCACUCCUUGGAGGAGGCGUAGGCACUCGACGACGAUUGUCGCGGUCGAGCCGAUGAUCAUACUGUCCACGACCUUCACGCUGCAGGGGCGAUCUUGGGAUGUGGGCCGACUGAACUGUAUCCGCUACUACAGACAUGCUAUGAAUCCUAUUCCGCGACUGAGACACUGUUGCGUUCUGUUCUCCUACUGCCCGGAGGAAGGCUCGGAUCUGCAUCAAACCUCUGCCGGCCUCUGACUGGGAAGGUUGAAUUGACUCUGCUAUUCGGGCUGCAGCUGUGAGAUUUUGGAUCGGAGUGCGGUAUACCUUAGGUGGAGACGGGAAAAGUCGUCGUCGACUGGACUCAGGGACCCGCUCUCGAGCACGCUCGUCGAGAGCGCGCUGAAGGUUCUCUAGUCGAGUGUGCUCAGCCAAAUUAGCUAGGCGCACCUCUUCCAAGGCCCGAGCCUCAGGGGUUUCUCCAACGAUGGGCGUGUGGAGUGCAUCCAUGUUGCGGCGACGAAGUUCUUCCCUCUGCUGCGAAGAAAGGGGCUCGGGAUGGUAUUCCUCAUGGACGUGCGACGGAUUGCCGCCACCAUCCUCGCCGUCUUCACGACGGAAACCAGGCGGACCACGCGGUCCGUCGACCAUCAAGACUUCAGCCGCAGGGUCGCUGCUAUCGCACUCGGAUGCGGCCUCCGCAGAGCCAGUCGACAGAUCGAACAAGCCGUGGAGAGUUUCGUCAGGCUCGAUUGUCGCGACUUGAUGGGUGGCCGAACGUCGAGCCACCGCGUGUUUCACCCACCACUGAAGCCGCGACCGACCGGAUCGCUUGCAGCGGCGAACAGCGGGGAGGGAAGACACCAUCGGAGACGACCGAUACUGAGUCGACGGCUGCCAGAGAAGGACGCCACGAACGCACGCGCGAAAGUGCGUCGCCCCUCAAACGGGGAGCACCUCAACGUCGAGGGGAGCUUCCUGAAGCCAAGCGGAGUCAUCGGCGAUGAAAACGAGCGCGCCGAGACGGAUCUCGCGACCCUCAGCCAAUCCGCCGCCGGAAACCAUGAUGAUGAUGAUCGGAAAAACUUGCAACUUCACCAACAAGUCGCUAAGACACCUGCCCCACGGUGGGCGCCCUGUCGUGGUUCUAAGACUGACAGUAGAAAAGGGGGUAGGUAUGGAGAGGCAAGAUCUCUGCUAUGGUGAAGGUGUACACGCGGGGUUUACGAGUUCAGACCCUUCUCGGUGGAAGUAAUAGCCCUACGUCUCGGUCCCGGAGGCGGUCGAUUGGAUUAUAUGCGUGUGAUGUUAUAGGGGGUGCAAACCCUUGUGCUAGAGGAGGGGGUGGCUUAUAUAGAGUAUGCCAGGACCCUCACCGUCCUCCAUUACAAGAGACUUAAUGUACAUAAAGUGGGGGCGUUACUGGUAACGCCAGCAUUAAAUGUUGUUAAUGACCUUAAAGACUACGGAGUGAACGCCUGCCCAUUGCAAUGUUGAGUGACUCCUGGUCUUCGGUAGGUCGAGUGAUUCCUUGGAUGGUCGAGUGACUGUAAGUAGGAGGACUCCCGAGUGACAUGACUGGUCGAGUGGAUUGAACUCGACAUCUUUGACUGGGGGUCUCUUACUGCUUCUUGGACUUCUUAUCUUCUAGGGUAGUGACCUUGGGUAGGACGUAUAGGUCAGGCCUAUGACCCUACCCUAGGUUUGUAUCCUCAUCAGCGAUCUUGUCCAGUCUCCUUGAUCAUCGACACGGCCUGCAAGUUAUCGCAUUCAAGGGCGAUCGGUAGCUCAGUCCACUGUAGGGAUAGACUGAGGCCUUCCCGGCAUCCCUCGAGCUCAGCAUGCAGAGGGCCAGAGCACGAUCGCAAGGAGCGGCAAGCAGAGAAUAUGAUGCCGCCGUCAUGGCCGCGCAGGACCAUCCCAGUGCCCGCCCUGCCAUCUUCAUGGGUGAAGGACCCAUCAACAUUUAGCUUGGCCCAUCCAAACGUCGGCGGUUUCCAUUUGCGCGGAAUCUUAGGCUCUUUCGACACAUGCGGUAAUGGUUGCUCCGCCCCGUCCAGCUGCACAACCAUCUUGCCCUUCCCCAGUCACCUGCUGGAUAUUGUUGUAUGCCUAACAGCGAGGCAAUGUAGCUCUAUAAGAAGCAUCGAGAAACCUCCAUGGGCGAUGGUCUCUUGUCGUGUUGGAUCUCAUUCCGGAUGAACCAGCACCUCCACAUCAACAUGAGGACUCUGAGGCGAUCGCCCUCGUCGCACUCCGCCAUGAGAUUCAGGAACCAUUCCGGUCCCGUGUUCCGCAUUGAUGUGACUUGGGAAUACGCCAAACCUCCGCCAUGGUAUGCCAUAGAUCCUUAGCUCAUGGGCACCUGCAAAACACAUGAAAUGUGUCCUCUCGCUCGAGACAUGAUGUUGGGCUUUGACAAGCACACCAUUAGUCAUGCGGCGGCCAGAGCCUGUCAUUCAUUCACACGCCAAGAAGACAACGGGUAAACAAGAAAAUAUACAGUGUCAUGAAUGAUGAAUGUUGUAACCACAUUAUUAAUGCAGGAAAUACAUACGUAAGCGCGUGCAGAGCAGUGGCAACAGAAGUAUGGAAAAUAUAACAAGAAACGAUACAUCACAUCAUUGUAUUGUAUAUUAUUCAAAGUCCGCUGGAUUCUGACCAAUGAGAAGUCAUUAGAUUCAAAAAUGUGUGCCGGAAGAGAAGAAACCAGGUGCUUCACAAAGACAAAGUGUACAGCCAACUUCAGUAAAUAGCUACUCCUUUUUUAGGGGCUUAAUUGUAAUUAUGUGUACUCACUUAUCUGCACAAGACUCUCCACAUAAUUAACGGUUUCGAAAGUCAUUUUCUUACCCGAAUACGGGAGGUGAUUGUUCCUAUCAGGUUGAUAGUACCACAAGUCCUUGAUCGCCACAGGAACCUUCCUCAUCGUGGCAUUUCCAAUGUUAUACCGGAACAGUUCGCGGUCAGCAAUAACAAACAGCAAAUCCUUGCCGUGAAACGCAACUUUGGGGCAUCUGAAAAGCCCACCAGGGACCGGCACAACAACCUCCGGCGGAAGCGGGACGACGAGGCGUCGAGUCCAUGCCGGCGCAUCCGUCGUAUCAUCACAAGCCCAGAUCUCCACCACCUCACACGGCUUUGCGAAGCAAGCACAGCACAGCUCGCCCUCCAGUUCUACGAAACCCACAGGCUGCGCGUCACACGGAGGAUACGGGAUCAGGCUGAAAGUCUCGUCAGCUAAGCUGAAGCGGAUGAACACGUCGGGGCUGAUUUCAUCCGGCAGAUCAACUCUCCGGUAAAUGAAGCCUCGGGCGUGAGCCGGCGUUACCGCGCGAAUCGGGUACGGAGGAUCGGCGGUUCGCCUCCAGAAGCUGUUGGUUCCCAGGGUGAGCACCUCGAACCUGCAGACGCUCUCAGAGGCAACGCCGUGUUGCCUCUGGUAGAAAUACCUCGCCGCUUUGUACUUUCUGCUACGUGGGUCGAAACCAAACCCGACGCGGUGGUGCUGCUCUUGGUUCUGGCUGCCCUUGGGCAGGAAAACAAACUCUCCGGUCAGAAGGUUGCGGACCAUUAUCUCCUGGUCACUGGUGGAGGUGAGGAUCAGGCCGUCGCAAUGCAGGGGCUGGGUCCAUCGACCAAUGCCCGUCGGAAACUGCUCGCUUGACGCAAGGCCGCCAUUGUACUCGUAGAAUCUCAUCGAGAACGCGGUCUUCUUCUCUGGGGAGUACUCGCAAGGCAGUAUGAGCAUCCUUGGCCGAGGCUUUGAGAGCUCUCGGUGCGCGUCGGCGAAGCGCCGGCUGGAUAUCACGGCGAGCCACCCCUUGCAGACGCACUUGAGCCUCGCCGCGGACUUGGCCGGGAGCCGUGAUAGGAUCUCGAUGGUCAGGUCGUCUGGGAUGCUGGCAAGAGACGGCCGUGAGCACGGCGUGCCGAUGAAGGCGAACUUCUUGCGAGGCGGCUGUGGAGACGCGGGGAGAUCUGCACAUCUCUUCCCCGCCAUGGCAGAAGCCUUUGGAUCCGCAGAAGAUGAGAGCGUAUGAAUCAGUUAUAUAUGGCUCUGAGCGGAACUUAAACAACGGGCGUCGGAUUAUAUAAGGAAGGACGCGGUUUUUGUUUCCGAUUCGAUCUAAUCAGGCAGAAAAUUAUACAAGGAAUUCUCAGUUUGAUCAGGCAAGCUCGAACCGGAACCGUAUAGCACACCCUAACCUUUGGAAAAACAGAGUCGGUGCGGUGCGCCGCCAACGUCGAGGAUGAUAGAUGGCUGUGGAUGAUCCUUCUGCAUCACCCGGCGCCGGCAAUCCUCCGCCGGCCGAGCGACUGCGGCAGGGCCGAGGGGAUCCGCGCGAGCGACUUCAACAUCGUCAAGAAAAGGCCAUUCAUGGAUGCGCACUCAAGCAUUUGAUGCUACUUUUUUUUAGUUUAUUUUUCAUUCUUUCGAAUUUGCCGUUCAUGGGAGCAUAUGAGCUCGGGAUAUCUGUGAAUUACCUUUUUUUUUACUUCACUAGGUCUGGCACAAAGCAACUAAACGUCCGUGGAUAUAACAAGGAAACGGCAGAAACUGAUCAGGUUUCCGUCAUGCAUCUGCUCUUCUCCACAUUGUAUACCCAUUUAACACCAAGCACACUGAUCUAGCCAGGACCGGAGCGCCCCAUGAAGAUCAAUCGGCACAACACUAGCUAUCGCUUUUAUCAACUUUAUUCCGAAGACACCAUGCAAAUAUAGUACAACUACUUGGUGCCAAUAAGAAUUCGUAGUUCAGGCAACAGUGAGCUAAACCGAACAACUAGCAGAACAAGUUCUCUCCACAAAGUAGUCACUAAAUCGCGGCACAAUGCCCAUACACAUCACAGUAAUUCAUGGAACAAACCAUGCGGCAGAUCUUCAGAGGUAGUAGUAAGAAAGCAGAGGCGCCACCACCGCGGCUAGGAGGAUGGUUGCCGCCGAGACAGGAGAUCUGGUCGCUGCCGAUUUCGCUGGGCUUGGGCUGACGGUUGUUGGUGUUGAUCCGGAAGUUGGUGUAGGUGCUGCAACAUACAUUUCGAUUUCAGUAUAGUAAAAUGGAUGGAAGUAAAAGAUUCAGACGAUAGAAAAGCAGGAACCAACAUUUCAAUUCAGGACUUCGGGCAAUAAAGUAAAACAGGUGGUUUUUCUCAAUCACAACAUAUAAUCUAUCAUCAGCUUUCGUGUCACACCGAUGAACAAUCCAUGAGGAUGAACUUAAUAUACAAACUGAUGCACGUACACAAAUCACAUCUUUUAGCAGCUGGCACAUUCUAUCACUAAUUGAAGGCCAAAGUUGGCAUCAUUUGGUGGUUGCCAUGCAUCAUAAUGGUUUGUCAAUUAUGUUCUGUUCGUGAUCCAGUGCAACAUCUGGCUGUCAGCCCUCAAAAUUACGAUGGCAUUGAAAAGCACCGCCACUAUGACAGCAGUACUUUAUUAGGAAUGUCUUCGAUUACAAUACAAGCUAAUAUUUUGAAGGUCUGCUAUGUGCCAAUUUCAUUCUAUGUGAAUCUCAAAAUCAUUCUUUUUUGUGAUGUUUUUCUUUUCAAGUGGAGGUUGUCAACAACAAAAAAUGUUCUGUUUUUUCACAUGCAGACCACUGAAAAAUUCUAGAUGCCAGAGGUGUCCAGAAAAAUUCUCUGUAGUCCAAGAAAGCAUUGAUGUCAAUGCCCAAGGACACAUUCAUAUGUUUUCCCUUCGAUCUCAAGAGUGGAAAAUGGAGGUGGAGAUAAAUCGACUCUAGCUCUCGGCAGUUCUUUAAUCAGUCAGAUUGGAGCAUCUGCUGAUUAGAUCUAAUUAACGUUUUUUUUCUGCACGGAUCUACAGGAAUAAAGAGAGGGAUUCAAAAUGUAGGAACUGCAAAGGAGAAGAGAGUGAGGAAUUACCUUCAGUAGGGGCGCCGUUAGGGGCUCCGCCGGGCAGUUUCACUGCAGGACAACCAAAAAUUGAGUCAGACCAACACCGCAUGUGCGUGCCCCUCCAUGAACACACGGGGACAGAUCACAAAUCGACACGAGGAAAAGAGAAUCGGAACAAGAUGGGAAGAUGGCUCACGGCUGCAGUUGCUGAGGGCGGCCGGGUUGCCGCCGCAGGCGGCGGGGAGGCCCUUGGCGCGGGUGAGGUUCAUGGGGAUGCCGUAGUCCUUGCCGAAGGCGUCGCAGAGGCAGGCGACGCUGGCGGGGCUGGCGAGCGCGGUCUUGACGCCGGUGCAGCACUCCUUGGGCGGCUUGCCCGGCGCGGCCCCCGGCGUGAUGUAGGGGAGGCAGCCGGUGAGGCCCGUCAGCGCGGAGCCGCAGUCCCCCGCCGGCGCCGCCGGCCCCGCCGCCGGCGCCUGCGACGCCGCGCCGGACGCCAGCGCGAGGACGACGGCCAGGAGAGCCGCGACGGCGUGGGUGGGGCGCGCCAUGGCGGGUGCUCGAGCUCGAGUGCGGGGGCGGUGUGGGGGGUGGGGGAGUGGAAGCGCGGUGUGGUGGUGGAGUGGACUGAACUGGUGGGCUGUGGGCGGCUGGUCUGGCUUUAAAGGUGGCGGCUUCUCGGCGCGGCCAGCGAGGGCGGUGAGGUGGGAUUGUAGCACAGUAGGGUUUCCUCCUGGUGGGUGGUGGUGACCGUCGUUAUCUACCGGGCCGGCGUGCCGUGCGCACCGGAGAGCGGUUGGUUAGCCGAGUGCUCGACGGUUGGCGCGCGAGUCAAGUCUCCAGCGCGCGACUGGACUGGCACGUACGUUGGGAACCGCCUUUUCUGCGUCCUUGGAAACGGUAAACAUGAUGUCAUAUACUCACUCCAUUUUCUUUUCAAAGAUCAAGGGUCGUGAUAAUCAUUUCGCAGCAAUUUUUUCAGCAUUUUGGGGCCCAUUUAUGGAAUCAUUUCGCAGCCAUUUUUUUGCGGGAAAAGAAAUGCCAUGUCGGGUCAAAGUUAGGAAAAAGAAGUGGUGGAGUGCACAGACAUGACAUGGUGGCCACGGCCACCCGUGCAGCCUCCAACUGGAGACACCCUGCCUCCACAAUGAAUUUGAAAGAAAAGAAACAAAUACGACAAGAUCUUCAAAUCGACUACGUGCUCUUAUUCUUUGUAUUAUGAGAUUUUUUUUCCCUCAGAAAAACGCGCUUAGUUCCUUGUAAAUUCAACCACUAUUAUCCUAAAAAAAAAUUCAACCACUAUUUCAUUUGCAAAAAAAAUUAAAAAAAAUUCAAGCACUAUUUGGCUGCUCGAUGUGUCGUUUUCUUUUUAAGUACUUCUCCACCCUGUGACUUUAACCGCCAAUGGCAACGCAUGUUUUUUUCUUAUCUUUGGUCCGCAUGAUGGCAUUCCGCAGUCCAUAUGAAGGUAUUUCCCCCUGAACACUUUGCGACAGCGAUGCACAGCUGUGAUGUGCCAGCCGAAAUUCCGUGAUGCGCCUUUGCACUUGCAUAUAUGGAAUGCAAGAUGGAGAGGCGUGCAUGUGACCUUCCAGCUGGUUUGCAUCCUCACAUGCUCUCCAGUACUAGUACUACUACCUGGCCCAUGGAAUUAUUGUGCAAUCCAUACUGCAUUCCGGGGUUGCAUCCUUAUCUCGCACAGUGCUGUCGAUCUCGCGUGAGAGCGCGGGUAACCUCACUUAUUUUCGCCACACGCGGCCUUGUCUCUGAUGUUUCUGUUUGCAAAACGGAAAUGGCAAGGCGGUCUAGUUUUACAUCAUCAAGUGCCGUAAGAUUACGUGAUUGAAAAAAAAAUAAGACUGUGCUCCUCAAUCGAGAAAAAGGAAAAAUGACAAAGAAAUAAGAUGUCUUUUGCUGUUGGUGGGUUUACCUCGAUAGGAAGGUCAGUGUAGCUUUGCCGGCGGAAGUUCCCGUGAAAAGAAGGAAAACGAUAGGCGUUUGUUCACGAAUCUCAUGAUCUCAUCUGGUAUCACCUUCACACACACACUUCGGCGGCCCUGCACUUCGUAUGCAUGCAUACCGACGAGACGAUACCGACCAGCGUGAGGAUAGAUAGAUAGAAGAGGAGAAAAGGUGCGCUGCGUCCACAGGCAACAGUCUCUUUUCUCCCCUACUCUUUUCUGCGGGGAAUCUCACCUACUUUUUGUUUUUGAGUUGAUCUCACCUACUUUUUGGCAGCCAUACCGACCGUGACAGCUAAGCUCGUUCGUUUCAGAACGAGUCGCACGAAUGGUAGCCCGUAUGUUCAGGUAAAAAAUAUAUUUGGGGCAGUGAUCUGCGCCGGCGCGCUGGCCCAACGUUUCGGCUGGUCGCGCGCCGUCAGAUCCAAUCGCGUUAGACCGUUAGAUCUAGGAAAAAACGGUUCACCCAGCUUCUUUCCUUUUGUCGCGGCACCUUCCCUCAUUACUAGGGAAAAUCUUAUACACAGAAAUUUAGCAACAACGCGGGUAAAAAAAGGGCGCUAGUGCUAGAUAGCAAUAGCGUUUGAGAAAAAACCGCGCUACAGAUACAACCUUAGCAGUAGCGCGUGUAGUGGCAAAAGCGCUACUAUUAAUAUUCUCAUUGGUAGAAUGAUAGGCUACGCAUAGCAGUAGCGGGCUUGGAAGAAGUGCGCUACCGCUAGGGCAUAAGUAGUAGCGCGUUUCCUAAGAAGAGCGCUACUACUAAGGAAAUAAAAUAAGAUGAAAAACAAAUAGAAAAGUAAAUGAAAAUGAAAGAAAUAGAAAAAGGAGAAAGGAAAAAAUAAAAUGUAAAGCAAAAUAAAUGAAAAAGCGAAAAAAGGAGGAAGGCAUAGCAGUAGCGUGUGUUCGUAAGAGGCGCUAUAGCUAACGUAGCUGUAGCGCGUGUCCUAGACCCCCGCUAUAGAAACAGAAAAAGAAAUUAAAAAAUGGAAGAAAAUUACAUAGCUAUAGCAGCAGCGCGUUUUGUAAAAAUCGCUAUAGCUAUCUUAGCUAUAGCGCGUUUUACCAAACGCGCUACCGCUAAGUUUGACUUAACCAAAAAACCGUUUCUCCCGGCCACCACUUCUCCCUCAAAUCCCUCAACCCACCCCGCCGCCGUCUCCCCGAUUUGCCGUCGCCCCACUUCGCCGCCGUCUCGUGCCGACGUCGACGCCACCAGAGCCGUGCGCCGUCGACGCCACCGGAGCCGCCCCCAAUGCCACGGAGCCGCGCAGCCUCGUCAACGCCACCGGAGCCGCCGUCGACGCCACCGAAUCCUUCCUCGCCACAACUGCCUCCCUCGCCGUCACCGGAGCCAUCCUCUGUAAUCCCCCACCCCUCCUCUCUCUGUCAUGCAUAGGUUAGCUAGUUUAAUUAGGUUAAUUAUCUAGGUUAGGGCAAAAAUUUAGUUAGGGCUUUGACAGAGAAGUAGUUAGGUUAACUAGUUUAAUUAGGUUAAUUAUCUAGAUUAGUGCAAAAUUUUAGUUAGGGCUUUGACAGAGAACUAGUCAGGUUAACUAGUUUAAUUAGGUUAAUUAGUGCAAAAAUUUAUUUAGGGCUUUGACAGAGAACUAGCUGCGUUAACUAGUUUAAUUAGGGUUAAUUAUCUAGGUAAACUAGAUUAACUAACUAGGUUAAAUAGGUAGGUUAAUUAGGUUCGUUGGAUUAACAAGCUAGGUUAAGUAGGUUGGCUAGGUUAGAGGAAAAUUUUAUUUUAGAGCAUUAGGUCAGAAGGGUUAGAGAAUGGAGUUCCUUUGCAAUUUAAUUGGGUUCUGUCCUAGGCGGAGAAGGGUUAGAGAUAAUAAUGUGUGUUUGUGUGAGAGAGAGGAAUAGCUAGAUCAACAUAAUUUGGGUUCUGUCCUAGGCGGAGAAGGGUUAGAGAUAAUAAUGUGUGUUUGUGUGAGAGAGAGGAAUAGCUAGAUCAACAUAAUUUGGGUUCUGUCCUAGGCAUAGAAGUGUUUAGUGAGGUCAUUUUGCAAAGGUUUUUGAUUUUUGAAAAGACCACUAUUUUUCAAGGAAAAGAAUUUAGGCAAAUUUUAUUUUAAAGAUGACCCCUUCCUAAACUUUUAUUGUUGAUUAUAUCUUUUCAUUGAAGUGGUCAUGUUAUAUCUUUUCAUUGAAGUUGUUCGAUUGUGCCUAAGUUGCUUUGUUGUUUCCAGGGAAUGAUGCUGAGUGACCUAUGUUUUGCUGGAAUGUUGAUUCAUUUCUGUUCCGGCAAAUUUCAGCUUCUCGAUUUGUUCACUUUUUAGAAAAGGUCAUGCCGAAAUUUUCCGUGAAUUUCGGCAUGACUUGUGCUACAAACUAGGACAUAUCGAGUGCCGGGAUUUGCCGCACCAGGAAGGAGUCAACAUUCCUGCAAAACAAUAGGCCUUUUUAUGUCAUUAUUCAUUUUAUUAGGUCUAGAAUUAAUUGACUAGAUUUAAUCAUAGGAAACAUGGCUAGCAACGAUGAAGGACAGGGUUCUGGUGAUUGCGACGAUGUCUACCGGGCGACAGACAAAUUUUUUAACCUUACCGACGAUCAACCGAUGUUGUUGCUGGGCCCACUAGUGGCAUCGGGGACUGAGACCGACACGCAGACCGGUGCUGAGACUGAGACCGGCGCUGAGACUCAGACCGGCAUCGAGACACGACGCUGAGACUGAGACCGGUGCUGCCUCGGGGAGCGGAGCCGGUGUAGAACCGAAAGCAAAGAGGCAACGGCUUCCUAACAAACUCAGGACUACUAGACUGGUGGUCACGGAGGUGGACGACGACAAUUUUGAGCCAAAGGCGCACGAUGAAGCGCGCGCGUGCUACGACAAUCAAAUAGGCUGCAUCGUAUGGACAACCGCCACCAUCAACGAUGAGAAACUACAGAAGAUAGAAAAUAUGAGGAGCUCCCUCCUAAAGAAGUUUCACCAGAUAUUCUUGUUCCUGGGCCAGAAUGAGAAGGAUUAUGAAGAUCCAGACGAGGACCCAACAAUGAAGAAGAUAAACAAACACGCCAUGACCAAGUUUAGCGACGCGUUGGCUGCUUGGAAAACUCAAGUGAAAGCAAAGAUCAUCGACAAGAAGGAACCCUACUCCGAGAUUGUAAAGGAUAAUCCGACAAUCACGGAAGAGCAGUUUAAAAUAUUCAAGGAGGCUUGCGAGGCCGAAGCUGCCAAAAAAGUCUAAGUACAUGAAGGGGCUUCAAGAGAGGAACAUUGGGAGCCACCACCUCGGAAGCCGUGGUUACGGCGGAAAGAGGUCCAAAUGGGCCAAGGAGGACGCGGAAGCCGCGAGUCUGGGCAUCCCAGACCCCUUGGCGGAUUUCACCGUCCUGUAGGAGCGUGACGUCCUGAGGGCCCGGCACCGUUGGGACCCAGUGAAGAAGGUUUACGAGACAACACCGGUCAUUACGGAGUUCAUGAGACUGCUGGUAAUUUUAGUUUCUGAUCAAUUCGACUGCACACGUUAGUCAUAUUUGUAAAUGAUCCUUGUGCCUUUUGCAGAGAGAGUAGCACCGGAUUGCGGCCGAAAGCGACUCGCUGUCUGAGGCAUUGGCGAGGCCCAAGUGGGACACUCCAUUCAACCGGGCGUUGAAUAUAUUGAAACGACAACCGGUGGAUACUCGACCGUCGUAUGGAUGCGUGCACGGUGUCGGAGACGGCGCCACGUGGAAGAAGUAAAGUCGUGUCCAUCCCGGACAUCUGCAACGUCCUCUCACGCCUUUUUUGGGGGGUCUUAUUGUUUGUUGGGAAAGCAAGGAAGACUAGCUUUGGCUCGAACAUAUUGAAACGACAACCGGUGGAUACUCGACCGUCGUAUGGAUGCGUGCACGGUGUCGGAGACGGCGCCACGUGGAAGAAGUAAAGUCGUGUCCAUCCCGGACAUCUGCAACGUCCUCUCACGCCUUUUUUGGGGGGUCUUAUUGUUUGUUGGGAAAGCAAGGAAGACUAGCUUUGGCUCGACACAUUCCUCGACAUCGUCCCACACAGAAAGAAAGAGCGUGGAGCCCCGGCCCGACCUGUAAGUCCGCCCGCGGGUAAUACCUUACUGAGCCUACUCAAGCAAUCUCCCAUUAGCCGCUCUUUACUUUAUAGUCAAGCGAUUGUAAACUCAUUAUUUAGGCUAGCGACUUUGCUGAUUAACAAGAUUAUCGCAUUGGAACCGUGAGACCAUGGAGGAGAGAAAGGAAAGACGGAGGUUAACUGAAGAAAACAUCGACAAGAAGGUUGAGAUUGCGGUUGAGAAGAAAUCAUCAAAGACAGUCGCAACAGCGGUAGCUGCCGCAAAACAGGUGGUUGCAGAUUUGUCUACUUCCUUGGUGACGGGCGUUUUCACUUGGACAAGGCAAAAUCCAGAAAAAAAUGCAGAGGACUUUCCCCUUGUUGACUUCUUGGGAGCACCUGCUCCCGCACCGGCUCCUGCACCUGCUCCUGCACCGGCUCCCGCACCUGCUCCCGCACCGGCUCCCGCACCUGCUCCCGCAUCGGCUCCCUCACCGACUCCCGCACCGGACAUGCUCGGUGGUGCCUCGUCUUUGGCUGAGCUCGACGCCCUCACGGUAUCUGUCACACCACCCCCCUUCAAUAUAAAUGUAUAAUCUCCCGUUUUCGUUGCCUUUCGGAUGUCUCACAUCGCAGACUUUUCUUUGCAGGCCGACGAAACCCCAUGCACCAUAUUAUACACCAUCGGCGACCAGAAGGUGGACGUGGGGAAGGCGACGAUAAUGGAGCCGAAGGAACCAUUGUUCCACAGCCGGUCGAUCCCCCCGAACGUCUUCAAGGUUUCCGUGGCCAGUGUCAAACCGGGCCACGAGAAUUUGCCUCCUCUAAUACUAGUGGGGGAUGACGACGAGACCCCGCGGCGGCUUGGUGAUUGUUGCAACGGGUAGGUCCUGUUGUGGCCAAAGAGUCUGCUUCAUCUGGAGGCGGCCGGGAGCACACCCACGAGCACGCAGCCUCAGCAAGGUAUGAACAUCAACACCCCACCUACCCAAUUAGCGUCGGGUGUCGGGUUGGGUGAUAGCGGACGGGGUAAGGAGGAGGUUCCAUUAGUCGCUGAUGACGUCGCCAUGGAUGAGGAUGAGGAUGACGAUGGCGCUGAACAGUAUGUCUAUACUGGCGCCUCCUCAGGGUUUGAGCGUCAUGAGUCGGUGCCUGAAUUACCGUCUCAAUGUAUUAUGGACGACCUUCCGGUAGUAAAGAAGUCUAGGAAGAGAGCGAGGAAAGGCAAAAAAGCUGAUUCUAUGAUCCAGCCGCCUCAGCAGCCUCGGCUUUAGGACCGUAUAGAUAUCCCCGAUGCGGAUAAAUGGCAUAUCCCCGGUCAACCAAUCCUACCUGCAAUAGCGCUACGGGCCAGAUUCGGUGAUCUAAGGAGACUCCAUGACGAUGUGCUGCUGGUAGAGAAAGGCCUCAUCGCCUCGAAAGAUCUAGGAUACCCACUCUACGUGGUUAACGUUCCGCGGCAAAUGUCGUACGUCGACAGCUUCCCCGCGGAUAAGUUCUUCCUCCGAUUCGAUUACAUAUUCGACAUGUUUCACGUGAAGAAGCUGGAUUUUACGUUUGUCCGCCUUUAUGCCUUGCACAUGAACUACAUCAUUGGGGUUGAGCAGAUACGUCAUAUCUGUGUCGCUGACCCGUACUACAUGCACGAGGGCUUCUUGGGAGUCUGCGCAGAGCACCAUGAAUACGCGAGGGAUUACAUCGUCAGUUUCAUGCUCGCCAAUAAGGACAAGGAGGCGAUUCUCGUGCCUUAUCAUCCCAUGUAAGUCAUCCGCGCUGCUAUCCUUCCUUCGAUUUCAAUAAUUCAUUUGCACGGUGGAGGCUAAUUAAUUUGAGGUGUACUUAUUUUGCGCAGCGGCGGGCGCGCCGUCCUCAUCAUCCUCUACCCCCGAUUCUCCCACGCUCUUUACUUGGACUCGUCGAAGAACAUUCACAAAAAGGAUUACACCCACAUCAAAGAUGUUCUCGACAGUGCUAUGUUUUACUACCAAGCAAGGGGUGGAGAGGUUAGGGACAAGAAGAGAAGGGGCAGCAGGGCCGCCUUCAGCCAUAAGACCGACUUCUGCUGCAUCCAGCAACCGAACGAUUCUUUGAUGGAUUCUAUGUCCUACACCACAUGCUGGAGUACAGACGGGAUCACCAGAACCUUCGCAUGUCACCUAGAUCUGGCGAUGCCCAUAUUCUGCAAUGGGCAAAGGACAUAGGAGAUAUCGAGGAUCAUCGACUUCGAGCUGAGUUCUAUAACAUCCAGCGCGAACUUGCCCAAAUCAUCAUGAAGGAGGUCGUCGAAAAAACAGGGAUGUUCUAUGGAGAAGGACAAAUGUCGCGGGAAGACGUCCGAACAUGGAUAGCCUCUCAGCGUCUCGACAUGAAGCCUUUCACUAAGCUCGAGGACUAUCUCCCUGACAUGGAUGGAUGGCACGACAUGGUGGAGUGAUUGUCGAUAUAUGACAAUGUGUCCGUUUAGUCCAUACUUUCUGUAUGACAAAACUUUGAGUUAUGCACGGUGAAACUUUAUUUGUGAUGUAAUUAAACCGUCCUCCUCCUCGAGUAGCGAAAAUCACUCUAGUUAGGGCAUAUUGGGUACGAUGAACUUUGUUAUUUAUGCUUAUGAUAUGUUGUUUCUAUUUUUGCCAAGUCUGUCUCUUUCUGUUGCUCAACUAUAUAUGUUGCAUAUCAUCGACUCAUGUGACGAUGUAGGUGCAUAGAUCAUAGAUGGAGAAGAAGUGCAAUGCCAGGAGUAUAUAUACGACAAGUGGCCGGAGUGUCAGGCCCAGGUGUACCAGUUUCCGGUUUCCGAGCGACAGGCAGUAGUUAGUUUAGGUUCACGCUAAUGCGAGAGAGGGAUACGAACUCAUGUACUCAAAGUGAUAGCUCUUCUCGCGUAUAUCAUUGUUUAGAUGGACGAAGAUGUAUUUGCAAGUAAUUGAGACUUGUAUCGCUAUUUUCGAGAUUGAUGACGAGAAACCACUUUGUGUUGGAUGAUGAUUAUGAUGAUGACAUGAUUUGAUGAGACUAAUUGUAUGUAUAUGCUAUGAUUACAUUUGUAUGUGUAUGAUAUGCUAAAGAUUAUUGUAUAAAGCCUAUUCAAAUACAAAACAAAUAUGCAGGAAAAAAACUAAUAAAACUAGUAGUAGCGAGGGAGGGGGGGGGGAAUUUAGCAGUAGCGCCGCCUUACUAGUAGCGCUUCCCUAUAAACAGUUCUGCAGAUAAUAUCAGUAGCGCCCUUUUCUAAAGAGCGCUAUAGCUAUUCAUGUAUAGCAGUAGCGUGGGACAACAGGCGCUACUGCUAUACGUUAGCUGUAGCGCCUUAUUAGUAGCGCCGGUCCCCGCGCUAGUGAGAGGCCCAAAACCCGCGCUGCUGCUAGGCUUUUCCCUACUAGUGCCUCCCCGCAUCUUGCACACGCACCCCCUGCAUCUCGCACAGCUCGUCGGGGCGGAGGCCGCGCUCUCCUACUGCCCGCCUUCCUCCAGGUCACAGCACCGCCCCUCCCCUCCUGCUCCUUGCUAGUUCUCAUCGCCGGGAUUCACGGCAACCCCACACCAGCAUCUUGUUUCCGUGCUCGCCGUCGCGCUUGAAAUGGAUGUAGCGAAAACUUCACAGGUAGUAGCAAAAUCCAACUAUGGUUGCAACAAAUCAUCAUCGUCGCCGUCGCGAGGUCGUAGCUCUGCUUUGAUGGAGGUAGCAAAAUACUUCGCCGGUAGUACCAAAAAACAACUAUGGUUGCAGCAAAAAUCGUCAUCGCCGGUGCCCCACGACCAUUCUCUGCCUAUAUAAAAAAAGAAGUCGGUUGUAGCAAACAACAGAGCUGGUUGCAGCUUUUCGCCGUCGUCCAUGGCUUCCAUCGUCUAUGGUUGAAACUUUUUUUGCCGCCGGUUGAAGCUUUUCUGUAGCCGAUUGCAACAAAAUUAAAUGCCAGUUCCAGUUCGCGCUCUGCCCGGUUCCAGCAAAACAGUGAUGGUUCCAGCUCCGGUGAUGGGCGGUUGCAGCAAAAAAGGAUGCCGCUUCCAGCUCCCAAUCCAGCCGCUUCCAGCAAAAAAACUGAGCAGAGUAGCAUGCUCCCUCAGGAGGAGAAGGAGGUGUGGAGGUCUGGAGGAGGAACAGUGAGAGGGAGGGGGAGUCUUGCGGCGGUGGAUCUCAUCAGGCGCGCGCGCAUGGUGGAGGGUGCCGCGGUCGUGACCGGAGACAUGUGUGCUGGUUGUGCGGGCGAGGGUUGGUGCCUGGUGGUGUGGGUGCCCCCGGCGUCCAUGUUGUGGGGAAGAAGAUGGGGAAAAGAACGAUUGGAAGCAGUGCUCUCGUUGCCUCGUUUUUUUGUAAGGGAUGCUCCCAUGCCAAUCACAUGAUCGAUAGCGAUCGCAGGGCCGCGCGCAUUCGGAGAAAUGUUUCUGCCUGGGCGCCGUCUGGAAAUGUUUACCUUUUUAGGGCUACUAGCACAUAUGCCCGUGCGUUGCAACGGGAGAUUUUUUUGCGAGAAGCAUCGGAAGAUGUGUCCAUUAAAACGGUCUCCACAGCGGUGGGGCGACAAAGCGAGGAGUUGCGGUGUUCUCAUGGGUCAUGUUUGGCCUGCGAGAUCUUGAUAGUGAUGGGGUUGGUCGGUGUGGUGGACACCACUCAACUCGUGCCUUUUUUCCCUCUGGGUUCGCCUCCGUGUCUAGGUUAUGGUUGCCUCCUCAUUUUGUGGCUGCACGGUUGAAAUAUCAUGGAUGUCGCCUAGAAGGGGGGGGGUGAAUAGGCGCUUUAAAAUAAUUACGGUUUAGGAUUGAACAAAUGCGGAAUAAACCUAGAAGUUAAUUUAUCAAGCACAAAACCUACAACAACUAGGCUCACCUAUGUGCACCAACAACUUAUGCUAAGCAAGAUAAACAAAUAGGUGAUAGCAACAUAUAUGACAAGAAACAAUAUGGCUAUCAAAAAGUAAAGUGCAUAAGUAAAGGCUCGGGUACGAGAUAACCGAGGCACAUGGAGACGAUGAUUUAUCCCUAAGUUCACACUAGCAGAUGCUAAUCUCUGUUUGGAGUGGUGUGGAGGUACAAUGCUCCCCAAGAAGACACUAGGGCCACCGUAAUCUCCUCACGCCCUCGCACAAUGCAAGAUGUCGUGAUUCCACUAAGGGACCCUUGCGGGCGAUCACCGAACCCGUACACUUUGGCAACCCUUGGGGCCGGUCACCGGUACCCGUCAAAUUGCUCGGGGCGAUCUUCAUGACCUAAUUGGAGACCCCGACGCUUCCCCGGAGCUUUACACCACAAUGAUUGAGCUCUGAACACCACCAACUGUCUAGGGCGCCCAAGCACCAAAGAGGAACAAGCUCAAGGGUACCAAGCACCCAAGAGUAAUAUGCUUCUCAACUUGAAACUUCCAUGUAUCACCGUGAAGAACUCAAACCAAUGCAUCAAAUGCAAUGGCAAGGGCACAUGGAGUGCCCAAGUCCUUCUCUCCCAAAUGCCACCAAAGCAACUAAUGCUAGGGAGGAAAAUGAGAGGAAGAACAAGAAGGAGAACACCAAGAACUCCAAGAUCUAGAUCCAAGGGGUUCCCCUCACAUAGAGGAGAAAGUGAUUGGUGGAAAUGUGGAUCUAGAUCUCCUCUCUCCUUUCCCCCCAAAUUAGCAAGAACCCAUGGAGGGAUUGAGAGAUAGCAAGCUCGAAGGAGGUCAACAAUGGGGGAAGAACAUGAGCUCAAAGGAUAAUGGUCAUUGGGGAAGAAGACCCCCUUUUAUAGGUGGGAAAAAAAAUCCAACCAUUAUGCUCACAGCCCACACAGAGCGGUACUACAGCUCAUGGGAGCGGUGCUACCGCUAGGGCAGUGGAAGCCCUUUGAAAAACAACAGCGAGGAGGCAAAAGGCCGGUAGAACCGCCGAAGCGGUACUGCCGCUCGUCCUCACGGUACUAGCGCUAAGGGUAGCGGUACUACUGCUUGCGUUAGGAUGAUUUGUGCACUACUUAGAAUAUUUGCAUUAGGAUGCCAAGUGCACAAAAUAGGAUCAUCACUCCCCAAAAAUCUAUAGAAACUCACAACAAGUGCAAGUGAGCAUGUAGGAAACAAAGCCUAGCACUUGCAACAAACAAAUGGUUGAGCAACAUAUAAAAGAGGCAACUUAAGAGUAGGCUCAACCGAAAUGAUGUGUGUGAGUCAUGGCAAAGCACUUGAGAAGACUAAUGUAAGGCUGAUCAUUAAGCAUCAACAUAGUCUUGAAUAGUGGAGAUACAAGGUGCAUGACAUGUCCUUCCCACACACACCAAGCAAAUGGGUUCACAAGCAAACUAUAUAUGCAAAAUGAAUAACUAACACUUGUGACAACCCAUGGUGAAGAAAGAAAAUGAUAGCUUUGUCAAGAGGAGGGAUACCAAUCGAAAUGGCAAAAGCCUCAUCAAGACAAGCAAGAGAAAACAUAUCUUCACCACAACAGAGUGCAUCAAAAUGCAACGAUAUAAGAUCCGUACUCAAGAUAAAUCCUUUCACAUAACCACCAAGCAAAGGUGGACAUGAAAGAAUAAGGAUAUCAACUAUAGAUGUAACUUCUCUCAAGUGUAUAAGAUUCUAGGUAGAUGAAGAUCAUGAUGAUAUCAAUACACAAAGAAGGAUGUACACACGAAAUAGUUACAAAAAGAAAGAAUAAGAUAUCCACAAGGAAGUCAUAAAUAUUACCAAUAAGAUAUUUGCUUGAAAGCAUAGCACAUGGCUAGAUAUGGUCUUAUUGUAUAUAAAUGAAUUCCAACCACACGAGCAUCAAAGACAUCACACCUAGCAACAAGAGACCAUUGUUGGGAUGCUUUGAGAAAGGAAACAAGUAUCAAACGAAAUAAUGAAUUACAUGCCAUGAUACGACCUACACAAGGUUGAUGCAAGAAGUGUGUGCAUGAAGUAGAUGAUGAUACUUGUUACCGAGAUAGCAUUGGAAGGAUGUAGUAGAUACCAAUUGAAGGUAGAUAGUAGUUCAUUGAACAUCCUAGCUUGACUCCAAUAAGCACAUGGUGGCACCACCUUCCUCUUGAAUGAGCUGAGCAUCCAAUGCAUCUCUAGUUGUUCCUAGAACAACACCACAAUCAAAAUGAUACCCAAACUCAAUGGAACGAAAGAGUUAGCAAACCAACAAUACAUAUGAAAAACUCCACAUAAAUAUGUGCAUAUAGAUAUGAAAUAGAAUUUCAUGCACAUCUUUGCCAAUUAGAGACUUGGUGGAGUUUCCCUUAUAUAUUGGGUCAAAGAAAGAAAGCAUGCCAAAGAAACUACAUGAAUUUAAUAUGCAUGAUCAAGACUUUCAAGAACCGAUACCAAUUGUCAAAGAAAUACCAAGUGAAGAAAGGAUACCAAAUGAAUAAAUCAUCACUUGGAGGAUAUCACUUGAAAGAUUCAUCAAGGAAUGAGAUAUCCAUUAAAACACACAAAGGGAGAGAUAUCGAACUCCCAAAAGAGAGGAUGGUUCCAAACAAACCAAGCCCUCUACUAAGUUUCAUAAUGGCCCAAAGUACCAAAAAGAAACGGCUUGCCUUCCACCAACACACACUUGAUAAGGAUGACAAGAUGAGAGUUUUAUAGAAAAUAGGAUAGCUCCCCUAAGAGUAGUGCAUUAUAGAGAAUUUGCAUUUGAAUACAAAAUGCACAAGGUGGUGAUACGUCUCCAACAUAUCUAUAAUUUAUGAAGUAUUCAUGCUCUUAUUUUAUCAUUCUUGGAUGUUUUACAAUCAUUUUAUAGAAACUUUAUAUCAUUUUCUGGGACUAACCUAUUGACCUAGUGCCCAGUGCCAGUUGCUAUUUUUUGCUUGUUUUUUACAUCGUAGGAAAUAAAUACCAAACAGAGUCCAAAUGCAACGAAACUUCAGAGAGAUUUUUUGUGUACCAGAAGACCAACAGUGGGCCAAACAAGCACCUAGGGGGAGCCUCGAGGGGGCACAACCCACCAGGGCGCACCUGGGGGCCCAGGCGCGCCCAGGUGGGUUGUGCCCACCUCGGUGGCCUCCCGCACCCCCUCUUUACCCUAUAAAUUCACAAAUAUUCCAAAACACUUCGGGGUUAACCUAGAUCAGAAGUUCCGCCGCCGCAAGGCUCUGUAGCCACCGAAAACCAAUGUAGACCCUUUCCGGCACCCUACCGGAGGGGGAAUCAUCUCCGGUGGCCAUCUUCAUCAUCCUGGCGGCCACCAUGAUGAGGAGGGAGUAGUCCACCCUCGGGGCUGAGGGUUUGUACCAGUAGCUAUGCAUUUAAUCUCUCUCUCUCUCUCCCUCUCUCUCUCUCUAUCGUGUUCUUGAGAUGUCACAUUCUUGAUGUAUCGCGGGCCUUUUUGAUAUGGUCGGUUCAUAUGGUGUUUUCCCCUCUCUAUCUUGUUGUGAUGAAUUGAGUUUCGUCCUUUGAGAUUUCGUUGUUAUCGGAUUGAAUACUUUUAUGGAUUUGAGAACACUUGAUAUAUUCUUGCAAUUGAAUACUCAUGGUGACAAUGGGGUAUCAUAUUGAUUCACUUGAUAUAUGUUUUGGCACUCAACUCGCGGAUUCCCGAGGUAACAUUGGGGUAAUCUAUGCAUAGGGGUUGAUGCACGUUCUUGUCUUUGUUUCACCGGUAGAAAUCUUGGGGCACUCUUUGAAGUUCUUUGUGUUGGAUUGAGUAUUAUGAAUAUGAAUUUUCUUUGGUGUUAUUUUAGUAUGGACUCUAGGAUAGAUUGAACAGAAAGAAUAGCUUUGUGUUAUUUUAGUACGAACUCUUGAAUAGAUCGAACGAAAAGAAUAGCUUUGAGGUGGUUUCGUACCCUACAAACAAUUUAUUCUUAUGUUCUCCGCUAGAUAGGAACUUUGGAGUGGUUCUUCACCGCACUUUGAGGGGUGGUUAUAUGAUCCAAUUAUAUUAGCACUGUUGAGAGAUUGCACUAGUGAAAGUACGGACCCUAGGCCUCAUUUUCAAGCAUUGCAAUACCGUUUUUGUGCCCAUUUACUAUUUGCUACCUUGCUGUUUUUAUUUUUUCAGAUUAUAAAAAUAUAUUUCUACCAUAAAUGUUACACUUUUAUCACCAUCUCUUCGCCGAACUAGUGCACCUAUACAAUUUGCCAUUGUAUUGGGUGUGUUGGGGACACAAGAGAUUUUUCUCGUAUUUGGUUGCAUGGUUGUUUGAGAGAGACCAUCUUCAUCCUACACCUCUCACAGAUUGAAAAACCUUAGGUCAUCCACUUGAGGGAAAAUUGCUACUGUCCUACAAAACUCUUCGCUUGGAGGCCCAACACGAGUCUACAAGAAUAAAGUUGCGUAGUAGACAUCAGGUGGGAUCACCACUUUCACUAUAUCUAGAAAACACAAGAUAAGUUCAAGAAGUUAACAAGAUCCACAAGUGGUAUGGAAGACAACGGGAGUUGACACAAUCCUUGGCAAGAGAUAAGGCAAAUAAAAGCAAAAACCAAUGUAAAGAUGAUCAAUAAUUUCUACCACACAUAAGUGAGUCGUACCAAUUGUCAAAAGACAAGAAGUAUUUGGAAAUAAUUCCCGGUGGUAGAUAGAAAUAGGGGUGGGCGUUCGGUAUAAGCCGAAUUUCCGGUUUCUACCGUUCGGUUUUUAUUCAAAUUCGGUUUGCAAAACUAGAAACCGAAAAUGCCAACAUAAAUCAGAAAACUGAAAAUUCGGUUAACCGACUGAUUCGGUACGGUAUUUGGUUAAUACCGAUCGUACCUUUUCUUUAAAUACUAUAGUCAGAGUACCCUCUAAUAUAGCCGCAAGUCUCGACGUUUUCUCAGCAGCCAGGCGAUGUGGGACUAAAGUCUUGCUGGCCGGAUGCUCGCACACACACUGCUUUUUUAGCGAAGAGUUACAUGGGCUGGGAGAUGCUAUGCACAAGAAAAUUGGGCCUUCAUAGUACCACGUACGUGUGGUCAGCCCAAGCGAGUACGACCACACGUGAUUGCGGGACUUGCGAACGGCUGUAGCCUGGCUACGUGGGCACCAAGAAGCCAGGCUUUGUGCUGUUCUUCGAGGUUGUUUUGGUGAUUCGGUAUUAAACCGAACCUGCCGAAUUUAAUUUGGUUACAACUAGAAACCGAAAUUCCUGUAGCAGCAAGAAAAACCGAAAAUUCUGUUUUUCGGUAUCGGCUUCGGUUCGGUCUUCGGUUCGUCGGUUUUUAUGCCCACCCCUAGAUAGCAAGGAUAUCCAACAUCAUAUUCACACCAAACACAAGCAAAUUCCAACUUGUAGAGCUAUAGCAUGCCACAUAAGAACAAGACAAUUUACAAUAUCAAUUCUAGGUGACAAUAUCUCAAAUGUACACAUUUUCUAGGUUUGUAAUAUGCACAUAACACAUUACUCCCCCAUAAUGUGAUACCAAAGAAACCUUAACAAGAGGCAAUAAGGAUCCAACAAGAGAUAAUUAAUGGAUUAUUUAGAAUUUGAAUUUCUCAUGAGAUGACAUACCACAUAGCGACUAGAUAAUUUUGUAUAUCAAUACUAGAUGGUAUUCUCAUGUACACACAUUUAUAGGUUUGUGAGGUGCACAAAGCACAUCACUCCCCCAAAAUGAGAUGUUCCAUUAAUUUCUCACAAGAGCCAACAAACAUACAAACAAGAUGCACAAAGGCUCAACACACGACACACUGAUACGUCUCCGUCGUAUCUAUAAUUUUUGAUUGUUUCAUGCCAAUAUUAUACAACUUUCACAUAUUCUUGGCAACUUUUUAUAUGAUUUAUUGGACUAACCUAUUGAUCCAGUGUCCAGUGCCAGUUCCUGUUUUUUGCAUCUUUUUUGUAUCUCAGAAAAUCUAUAUCAAACAAAGUCCAAAUGCAAUAAAUUUUUAUGGAGAAUUAUUUUGGAAUAUAUGUGAAUUUUGGGAGUUGGAAUCACCACAAACGGAGGCCCACACAGCCCACCAGACACCAGGGCGCGUCAGAGGAGCCUGGCUCAUGGUUGUGGGUUGUGCUCACCUCGUAUGUCGGUUGGAGCUCUACUUCGGGCGCAAGGAAGCUUAUAUUCGGAAAAAAUUGUGUUAAAAUCUCAGCUCAAUCGGAGUUACGGAUCUCCCAGAAUAUAAGAAACGGUUUUCGGCCAGAUCUGGGGAACGGGAAACAUAAGAGAAUAGAGAGGGAGAUCCAAUCUCGGAGGGGCUACCGCCCCUCCGCCGCCAUGGAGGCCAUGGACCAGAGGGGGAACUCUCCUCCCAUCUUUGGGGGAGGCCAAGGAAGAAGAAGAAGGAGGGGGCUCUCUCCCCCUCUCUCCCGGUGGCACCGGAGUGCCGCUGGGGCAAGGAUCGUGACGACGAUCUACAUCAACAAUCUUGCUACCGUCAACACCAACUCUCUCCCCCUCUAUGCAGCGGUGUAACACCCCUUCUCCCCGUUGUAAUCUCUACUUAAACAUGGUGCUCAACUCCAUAUAUUAUUUCCCAAUGAUCUAUGGUUAUCCUAUGAUGUUUGAGUAGAUCCGUUUUGUCCUAUGGGUUAAUCAUGAUCUUGGUUGGUAUGAUUGUAUAUUUUAUUUAUGGUGCUGUCCUACGGUGCCCUCCGUCUCGCACAAAUGUGAGGGUCCCCCACUGUAGGGUGUUCCAAUAUGUUCUUGAUUCGCUUAUGGUGGGUUGCAAGAGUGACAGAAGCUUAAACCCGAGUAGGUGGGUUAUGGCGUUUGGGAGUAAAGAGGACUUGAUACUUAAUGCUAUGGUUGGGUUUCACGACCUUAAUGAUCUUUAGUAGUUACGGAUGCUUGCUAGAUUUCCAAUCAUAAGUGCAUAUGAUCCAAGUAGAGAAAGUAUGUUAGCUCAUGCCUCUCCCUCAUAUAAAAUUACAAGAAUGAUUACCGGUACUUAUUAUCGAUUGCCUAGGGACAAAUGACUUUCUUGUUGACAAACGCUAUCCACUUUUAUUACCUUGCAAUUUAUUCAUAGUUUUAUUCUCGCAAAAUACUCUUAUUUUUAUUCUUGCAAAAUAGUUUCAUACUUGUUCUAGGUAAAGCAAACGUCAAGUGUGCGUAGAGUUGUAUCGGUGGUCGAUAGUACUUGAGGGAAUAUUUGUUUUGCCUUUAGCUCCUCGUUGGGUUCGACACUCUUAUUUAUCGAAGAAGGCUACAAACAAUCCCCUACACUUGUGGGUUAUCAAGACCUUUUUCUGGCGUCGUUGCCGGGGAGCAAUAGCGUGGGGUGAAUAUUCUCGUCUGUGCUUGUUUGCUUUGUCACUAAGUAGUUUUUAUUUCCUGUUCUAAGUUGUUCUCUAUCUUUAGUUAUGGAUAUGGAACACAAAACACCAAAAACAUUAGUUGUACUUGCUACUCAUGGAGAUGGGGAACCUCCUAAAACCCUUGAUGCUCGUUAUGUGAAAAAUAUUAUGCAUUACUUUGAUAAUCCUGAGAAAACCCCAUUCAACUUGAUAAUGGGAGUAACGUUGGAUCAACAUGAAUACUUUAGGGAUUAUCGCUUGACACAAAAAGGGAAACUUUUAUGGGAUCAAAUUUAUAUGUUGCAUUGGUAUGCUCAGGAUUUAUGCUUGAGAUAUGAUUUUACUUGUUGCUCUAGGAUGAAUGCUCCACAUCUUCCCUUUUCAUGCAAAUUUAAUGAUAAUGAAACCUUAGCUUCUUAUGCCAAUGGUAGAUAUGAUUGUUAUGAUGUGGAACGAAUAGAAGAAUUUGUUGCUUUUAAGGGUGCUUAUGAAAUAGAAUCUUUGUUUCUAAAGUAUGAAGCUUUUGAUGAUGAUGUUUAUAAACCUAAAAAAUUUGCCAUCCUUAAAUAUUGCUAUGAUAACUAUAAAUUCAAUUCCGAUAUUGAUGCAUUUAUUGAGAAAGUCUCCGCUGUCCAAGAAGAGACUAAUAUUUUGCAGGAGUCUAUGGAAGAAGGAAUUGAUGAAACUGUGAGCUCAUUGGAUGAAAAAGAUGAUGAGGAGAGCGAAGAACAAAUGGAGGAAGAGCGGAUUGAUCACCCAUGCCCACCUUCUAAUGAGAGUUACUCUUCAACUCAUACAUUUUUUAAUUUCCCUUCAUGCUUACUAAAGGAUGAAUGUUAUGAUAAUUGCUAUGAUCCUAUUGAUUUGUUUGAAAUAUCCCUUUUUGAUGAAAUUGAUGCUUACUAUUCUUGUGGCCAAGAUGCCAAUAUGAAUUAUGCUUGCGGAAAUGAAAUUGCUAUAGCUCCUUAUGUUGAGAAAGAAAUUGUUGCUAUUGCACCCACACAUGAUAGUCCUAUUACCUUUUUGAAUUCUCCAAACUACACUAUAUCGGAGAAGUUUGCACUUAUUAAGGAUUACAUUCAUGGGUUGCCUUUUACCGUUGCACAUGAUAAUUUUGAUGAAUGUAAUAUGCAUGUGCUUGCUGCUCCUACUUGCAAUUAUUAUGAGAGAGGAACUACAUCUCCGCUUAUCUAUGUUUCCAACACGAUAAAAUUGCAAGAAACUGCUUAUACUAUGCAUUGGCCUUUACUUGAUGUGCAUGAAUUGUUCUUGUAUGACAUGCCUAUGCAUAGGAAGAGAGUUAGACUUCGUUGUUACAUGACACGCAUCACUUUGUGCUCACUACUAAAUUCCAUAUCAUUGCUAAUUAAAAUUGGCUUUGAUAUACCUUGGGAUCCGGGUGGAUUCAUUACUUGAGCACUAUAUGCCUAGCUUAAUGGCUUUAAAGAAAGCUCUGCCAGGGAGACAACCCAGAAGUUUUAGAGAGUCAUUUAUUUAUGUUGAGUGCUUUUCUAAAGUUUAAAAACAGAAAAAAAUAUAGAGGGGAACCUAAAACUUCACAAAAUGAAAAGUGAAAGUGAGAGGGACAAACAUUGUGAAAGUAGGAGCUAGCCUUGAACUUUGUUCAUGCCCAUGGAAACUUUGUGAAUCUUAAUUACAGAAACCUUUCAACAAAAAUAAUUAUCCCCUUGUACAAAUCCAUUGUAUUAUAAAAAUAAUGUGCCAAGGUUUGCCUUUAGGAUGAUUAGAUUGCUUGUUGGUUUGUGCGGUGCAGAAACAGAAAUUUUGACUGUAGCGUGUGAAUUUUCCUUUUUUACUGGAACGUCAAACAUUUCUGAAACUUUUUGAAAAGUCUUGAUAUACAAAUUGUUUAUUUUUCAUAUUUUUCAGAAUUUUUGGAGUACCAGAAGUAUGGUAGAUGUUCAGAUUGCUACAGAUUGUCCUGUUUAAGACAUAUUCUGUUUUUGAUGCAUUGUUUUGCUUGUUUUGAUGAAACUAUCGAUGUUUAUCGGUGGUAUAAGCCAUGGUAAAGUUAUAUUACAGUAGCAACAAUGCAAAAACAAAAUAUCAAUUGGUUUGCAACAGUACUUAGAGUAGUGAUUUGCUUUAUUAUACUAACGGAUCUUACCGAGCUUUCUGUUGUGUUUUGUGUGGGUGAAGUGAUCAAAGAUCGAGGAGGUAUCGAUAUGCGGAGAAUGAGGAGAGGCAAGAGCCCAAGGCACCCCAAGUAAAUAUUCAAGCAGACUCAAGCGUCUAAUCUUGGGUAUGCCCCGGAAGGCAUCCCAUCUUUCUUCAACAAGUAUCGGUAUGUUUUCGUCUUUGUUUCGUUCAUGUGAUAUGUGCAAAUCUUGGAGCGUCUUUUGUGUUUGUUUUUCACUUUUAUUUUUUGCACCAUGCUGGUAUGAGAUAGUCCAUGGUUGAUUUAUAGAAUACUCAUUGCACUUCACUUGUAUAUUUUGAGUGUGGCUUUAUAGAAUGCUUCAUGUGCUUCACUUAUAUCAUUUGAAGUUUGGAUUGCCUGAUUCUAUUCACAUAAAAAACCGUUGUUUGUAGAAUGCUAUUUUGCUUCACUUAUACUUAUUAGAGCAUGGUCUUUUAUAGAAAUAAUUAAACUCGCAUGCUUCACUUAUAUCUAUUUAGAGAGUCAAAAGGAAUUGGUCAAUUGCAUGGUUAGUCAUAAAAUCCUACAUAAAACUUAUGGAUCACCGAAUAUGAUAUGUUUGAUUCCUUGCAAUAAUUUUGCGAUAUAGAGAUGAUAAUAUGUGGGAGGUACUAGUAAACGGUUGUGGUUAGUAGGAAUAUUGAUGUUAAUGUUUGUGAUUCUCGAAGCAUGCACAUAUAGUCUCGCGUUAUGCUAUGAAGUUGGAGCAUGAUUUAUUAUUGAUUGUCUUCCUUAUGAGUGGCGGUCGGGGACAAGCGAUGGUCUUUUCCUACCAAUCUAUCCCCCUAGGGGCAUGCGUAGUAGUACUUUGCUUCGAGGGCUAAUAAACUUUUGCAAUAAGUAUAUGAGUUCUUUAUGACUAAUGUGAGUCCAUGUAAUAUACACACCCUUACCUUUUCGCAAUUUGCUAGCCUCUACGAUACCGUGCAUUGCCCUUUCUCACCUCGAGAUGUGGUGCAAACUUCGCCGGUGCAUCCAAACCCCGUGAUAUGAUACGCUCUAUCACACAUAAGACUUAUUAUAUCUUCCUCAAAACAACCACCAUACCUACCUAUUAUGGUUUUUCCAUGGCCAUUCCGAGAUAUAUUGCCAUGCAACUUCCACAGCUUCCGUUUGAUGACUUGAGCAUUCAUUGUCAUAUUGCUUUGCAUCAUCAUAUAGCUGACAUUGUAGUUGUGGCUCAGCCACCGUUCAUCAUUUUCAUACAUGUUACGCUAGAUCAUUGCACAUCCUGGUAUUGCCAGAGGCAUUCAUAUAAAGUCAUACUUUUUCAUAGGUAUCGAGUUAUAGUUUUUAUUUCUUUUGAGUUAUAAGUAAAUAGAAGUGUGAUGAUCAUCAUUAUUCAUUUUUAGAGCAGUGCCCCAGUGAGGAAAGGAUGAUGGAGACUAUGAUUCCCCCACAAGUCGAGAUGAGACUCCGGACAAUGAGAGAAAAAAAGAAAAAAGAAAAAGGAAAAAAAGAAAAAUAAAUAAAUAAAUAAAUAAAGAGAGAAGGGGCAUUGUUAGUAUCCUUUACCACACUUGUGCUUCAAAGUAGCACCAUGUUUUUCAUAUGGAGAGUCUCCUAUGUUUGUCACUUUCAAAGUAGCACCAUGUUUUUCAAAGUAGCACACCCACUUAGUUUUCAUAUUGAGCUUAGCUCUUAGUGCAUUCGUUUCAUGGCAAUCCCUACUCCUUGCAUCGAUAUAAAUUGAUGGGCAUCUCCAUAGCCCGUUGGUUAGCCGCGUCGAUGUGAGACUUUCUUACUUUUUGUCUUCUUUAUAUUUACCCCUAUCAUUAUACUCUAUUCCACCCGUAGUGCUAUAUCCAUGGCGUGAGAGUUGAAAAAGCCGAAGCGCGUUAAAAAGUAUGAACCAAUUGCUCGACUUGUCACUGGGGUUGUGCAUGAUAAAUACUUUGUGUUAAGAAGACAGAGCAUGACAAGACUAUAUGGUUUUAUAGGGAUAGCUUUCUUUAGCAUUGAUAUUUUGAAAGACAUGAUUGUUUGUUGGGAUGCCUGAGUAUUGAUGUCUUUAUGUCAAAUUAUAGACUAUUGCUUUGAAUCACUUAUGUCUUAGUAUUCAUGCCAUGACUAGACAUAUGAUCAAGUUUAUGUUAGGUAGCAUUCCACAUCAAAAAUUAUCUUUUUUAUCAUUUACCUACUCGAGGACGACCAGGAAUUAAGCUUGGGGAUGCUGAUACGUCUCCACCGUAAUCUAUAAUUUUAGAUUGUUUCAUGCCAAUAGUAUACAACUUUCACAUAUUUUUGGCAACUUUUUAUAUUAUUUAUUGGACUAACCUAUUGAUCGAGUGCCCAGUGCCAGUUCCUGUUUUUUGCAUGUUUUUUGUAUCGCAGAAAAUCCAUAUCAAACGAAGUCCAAAUGCAAUGAAAUUUACGGAGAAUUAUUUUGGAAUAUAAGUGAAUUUUAGCAGUUGGAAUCACCGCAAAUGGAGGCCCACACAACCCACAAGACACCAGGGCGUGACAGAGGAGCCUGGUUCGUGGUGGUGGGUUGUGCUCACCUCGUAUGUUGGUUGGAGCUCUACUUCAGGCGCAAGGAAGCUUAUAUCCGGAAAAAAAAUGCGUUAAAAUCUUAGUGCAAUCGGAGUUACGGAUCUCCCGGAAUAUAAGAAAUGGUUUUCAUCCAGAUCUGGGGAACGGGAAAUAGAAGAGAACAGAGAGGGAGAUCCAAUCUCGGAGGGGCUCCCGCCCCUCCGCCGCCAUGGAGGCCAUGACCAGAGGGGGAACUCUCCUCCCAUCUAGGGGGGAGGCCAAGGAAGAAUAAGAAGGAGGGGGUGAUAACCCACAAGUAUAGGGGAUCGCAAUAGUUUUUGAAGGUAGAGUAUUCAACCCAAAUUUAUUGAUUCGACACAAGGGGAGCCAAAGAAUAUUCUCAAGUAUUAGCAGUUGAUUUGUCAAUUCAACCACACCUGGAAGACUUAAUAUCUGCAGCAAAGUAUUUAGUAGCAAAGUAAUAUGGAAGUAAUGGUAACGGUGGCAAAAGUAACAGUAGCAGUUUUGUGGUAAUCGUAAUAGUGGCAACGAAAAAGUAACUAAGCAAAGAUCAAUAUGUGAAAAGCUCGUAGGCAUUGGAUCAGUGAUGGAUAAUUAUGUCGGAUGCGAUUCUUCAUGCAACGGUUAUAAAUAGGGUGACACAGAACUAGCUCCAAUUCAUCAAUGUAAUGUAGGCAUGUAUUCCGAAUAUAGUCAUACGUGCUUAUGGAAAAGAACUUGCAUGACAUCUUUUGUCCUACCCUCCCGUGGCAGCGGGGUCCUAUUGGUAGCUAACGAAUAUUAAGGCCUCUUUUUAAUAGAGUACUAGACCAAAGCAUUGACACUUAGUGAAUACAUGAACUCCUCAAACUAUGGUCAUCACCGGGAGUGGUCCCGAUUAUUGUCACUUCGGGGUUGCCAGAUCAUAACACAUAGUAGGUUACUAUUGACUUGCAAGAUAGGAUCAAGAACUCACAUAUAUUCAUGAAAACAUAAUAGGUUCAGAUCUUAACUCAUGGCACUCGGGCCCUAGUGACAAGCAUUAAGCAUAGCAAAGUCAUAGCAACAUCAAUCUCAGAACAUAAUGGAUACUAGGGAUCAAACCCUAACAAAACUAACUGUUGACGCUAAAAAAUGGCAUGAUCGCAAAGAGUGACUUAAGUCUAUAAUGGAAUGAGGUUAAAAUUAUGAGUUUAUGUCACCAUUUGAUGGCCCUCGUCAAGAUGAUCGAAAUAAAUAUGAAGAUGGACCAAAAAGGAGGUCAAGUGCAAAAGAUAUGACAAUUUCGGAGAUACCCGUGUUGACACCUGAUUAAAGAAUGGCAUGAAACCUAAUUAAGAAGACCUUGGAUGGAAAAAGUUACAACUGCAAAGUUCUUCGUCUCGUCGAAACGGACGGUUUUGAUAUAAAGAUCGUCCCCAGCCGAGGUCGUAUGCAAAAGUUAUAGGCAAACCCGUGCGCUGCAUCAAUGUUGGCCGGAUCAUCCGGGCCGGGGUCCGGAUCAUCCGGGUAAUUGAAGCACUAAGAUUCCAGAAGGUUGGAGCUGAAGACGGAUGAUCUGGGUCAACUCCCGGAUGAUCCGGGUAAAGGCCGGACAAUCCGGGCAAUCGUCCGGACGUCCGGACAAGUUUUUCUGCUGCAGACUUUAUAAAAUGGCCCGAAAACCCCUCAAGAUGGCCUCAGAUCAAAACAUGUUCAACAUGAAAGUUGUGCGUCUCGUCGAGAUGGUUGAUUUUGGUAUAAGAAACAUUCAAAUCCGAGGUCGUAUGCAGAUUAUAGAGCCAAAACAGUAAGCUGCUAUUAGAAAACUGGGCUAGGCCGGAUCAUCCGGGCCGGAGGUCGUGAGAAGUCCGAAUUUGGCUAGAUUUUGAUGAUUUGGACGACAAGGCAAGUUCUUUUCUUGUACGGGAAGUCCAUCCGCCUCUUAUAUAGACGAGAGGUGAUGGCCGAUUGAACAACACACAAUCGAACAAAUCUAUCUACAUCUUUUACCUUUACUUUUCCUUCUCCCUUGUUCUUCUUCUUCCUCGUUCUUCGCUUGUUCUUCUUCAUUGCAGGGCGGUGAACCUUGAGGCCCUAGGGGCGAUCAGGUCGACCUAAGGCAGCCCAUAGCCACCACGCGCCCUGACGGGGUCCCUCCCGGGCGUGUGAAGUUUCAGGUCCUCAAAAGCACCCACCGGAUUGCCUGCGUACCGCGCUUCCGGACGGGUCUCCUUCGACGUGAGCUGCGGUGCAUCACCCUCGUCGUUGGAGGUACACGGUGACGUGUUCGUGUGCGAACACACUUUUUGGCGACUCCGCUGGGGAUCGAAGCUUCAAACGGUCUCCGGUCCGUUCUUGCUACGAAGAGAUCGUCAUCUAGGGUUUGCAAUCUACAAAGAUAAUAUGAAUACCCAAUUCUCAUAUGUAGAUGCAAAUAAUGCAUAUGUUGUUGCUAGAUCAUCUAAUGAGCAUAAUGUAUCGGCUAGCCCUAGCUUUAUCAAUCAUGUAUCUAAUUAUGUGCAAGGGCCGAUGCAACAAAAUCACCAUGAUUCUACUUCAUAUAAUUUUAGCAACAUGCAGCAUAUGUAUCCCAACUCUCAAGCAUCGGCAACCGCACAAAUUUAUAUGCCGAUGAAUAACAUGAUGAGUUCGGUUAAUCAAGUUGAGACACCCUAUGUAGGAACUUCCAAUGGUAUGCAACAAAGUGUUUCAAGUUUUUAUUCAUCAGCAAAUAACUUGCAGUAAAUUAAUCCAAACGUGCCGGUGGAUAGGGGAAUUGGCCAUGUUACUACUAGUUAUUUGGCCAAUUACCCUCAAACAUCAUAUGCUACACCUAAUGCUACUAAUUUUUUGGCACCAUACGCAACUGUUGAUGUCCAUAAUUCGGCUCCGCACCUUCAUGGUCAUGGCCGAAUAAGUGAAACUUCUGCAGGAGCACAAAUGCCUUCACCUACUACCGUGGCAUAUCAUGUCCCCCCUACACAAUUACAGAAUUUCGGCAACAUCUCAUUGCCGAAAGAGUCUAAAAGCAUAGGGGGGCAACCAUAUCCAGACUGGGUAAUUGAGAACAAGCUUACAUUCUCUUGGGAUUUAUGCAACUCUAUUCGCCAGGAACUAAUAGAUGGCGGGAAGCCUCAUGAUUUUACUGCUGUAAAAGCUAGAGUUGUGCAAAUAAUGCAGUCGCCUAGUGCUGUACCAUCCAGUGUACCACCUAAACAAUCGCAAAGUUUUGGCUCCUCAUUGCCGAAAGAGUCUCAAAGUAUUGGGGGGCAAUCUCAUGACGAGUGGAUGGAAAUUGAGAUGAAAAAGUUUAAAGCCCGCCAAACCGAGAUGUGGGCUAAAAUUAGACGAGACCGAGAAGCCUUGCAAAUUCAAAAAGAUAAAGUUAUUGAUUCAGGUAAUAAAGAAAACCCGGUUAUUAGAAAAGCCGAAUCAAGUAGUAUAUAUUAUGAGUCCAUCAAAUCCAAAGAGGCAAGCAUUAUUGAGAAAGGGCAUGGAAAGCAUAGCAAAACAGCCAUACUUGAUUUUUCCGAAGUCAUUGGAACCUACUUCCUGCCCUAUGAGUUCCGUUUCAUAGAAAUUGACAAGCCUCAAGGACAAGAACAAGUAGCCAAACAAAGUUCGGCUGACAUGGAUCUUCAAAGCAAUGAUGCACGGAAUCAAGAAAAAGAUGAUGACAAGGUGUUGGGGAGCCACCCAAAGACGGAGCAAGAUGUUCUUCAAGUCGCACCACUAUCAUGCUCUCCCAACAUAUUUGAAGAGGUAUGGUUGUCAAGUAAUUUACCUAUUUUUAGAUUUGGUCACAACUUUGUUGUUGAUGCAUCUAUUAGACAAAUCCUCACAAGUAAUUUUGGAAGACCAAUGAAGAAGGGUAAUUUACUUGUUAGCAAUAAAUUUUUUAUUGAGCAUAUCGGUCAACCCAUUGCGCCAUUUAUAAAGACCGAUAAUGACUUGUUGUUGCAGCCAAAGUUUUUCCCAUUGCUUUAUUUAAAAUUCAUAUCUAAUUGGGUUGCUUUGCUUGCUUCAUACUUGGCUUACGCAUGGCCUCAAUUGAGACAUGUAUGUUCUAACUACUUUGAUUUCAGAAAUUUAAAGCCAAGGUUAUACUCUGUUGAGAAAACCGAUGAUGGCAUAAUUUCCUUUUCAAAGACAUUGGAGAUAGAGUGCAAAACACAAUGCAUAGCCGAAUGGGGUAAUGCAAAAUCUGAACCAUUCGUUUGCUUAACUUCAAAGCCGUUCACACAGCAAGAUCGGCUAGAAAACAAGAAGUAUACCUUCAACUCAAGCAUGUGUGAUCAAAUAUUUGAUUUGUUGCUGAAAAAUAAUUACAUUACAAUUCUUGAUCACCAUGUUAAGCCAUCAAUCCAAGGACGAGUGUAUUGUAACAUGCAUGAUUCGUCCAAUCAUAAUUUUGAGGAUUGCAACAUGUUUCGUCAAAUAGUUAAAUCCGCCAUUGAAAAAGGACGAUUGAAGUUUGUUGAAACACCAAGAGAUGACCAGUCUAUUCCGAUUGGUCCCAAUGGCAAAAAGUUUUUGCAUCGGCUGCUUCAAGCUGAUCCAUUUAAAGAGAAUGUAAAAGCUGCAGGUGAUGGGAUCAAGCUUUCAAGUAAAGAAGUUGUUGAAGAGCAUAACAAGCAUAAUCUUGAGGGCGAGAGUUCCAUCGAAGCUACAAUGGAGAUGCCAAGGACUGGGGGGCAGCAAGCAAAUCUAAUGAUCGAUGAAAGCAAAUCAAAAGAAAACAAAGGCCGGAAUAAGCGCAAGUGUAAGAGAUCAAAAAUCACCUUCGCUGAACUAUUGGAUAAAUAUCAAAAGAAGAGUGAAGAGAAGAAUGCUUAUCGGCCAAAUCAUGCAAAGAAACCAAGAUCACCCCCAAGGCGCAAAUAUGAGGAUUGGUAUUGGCAAAGUGAUAGUUUUAAUGCAACAUAUUCAUAUCCUUAUUUUUGGCUGCCAAUGCCAAUGCUGUGGAUGCCUCCCUAUGCUCAUAUAGAUACAUAUUCAUCAUGGGGUAGGUGUGAUACAAGGGCACAUUCUCCAUCUUAUUCUAGACCAUCUCACCAAUACUAUGUAGCUCCAAGGAGAUCAACAUUUGAACAAUCAUGCGUCAAAGACCGUUUCAAUCAUAAGGAAUCGGUCCAGAGCUCAAGGAAGAAGAAAGAGGUGGUAAAGCAAGUUUACUGCGUGAAAAGAGAUGGUCGUAAGUGUGCUGCUUCAGAUUUGAUCUUAAAUAACAAAGAGCCAAUUAAAGUGUUGACAUUGGCUACAAAAGGCAAAAAAGUGAAGCAAUCAUUUGAUAAAAAUCAGAGUGCCAAAUCCGAAGAAAAGAAGUUGAGGGUGCACAAGGCCCAAAAAGAGUUACCAUUGGUUGAAACAAAAUCACAGUCGAGUUGCUCACUCGGCUUAUCGUAUUGGCAAAAGAAGGAGUUACAAAAGCUUAGUGCACAAGAACUUGAAGAAAGGAACAUGGCAUGGGUUCCCAAAGGAAGUACUCAAAAUAAGAAUUAUGUGCAAGUUUCCAUUACAAGGAGUGCGGCAAAGGUGAAGAAGGAAAAUAGUGAAAACUAUGAAGGACCAAGCCGAAGGUUUCAGCAUCUUCGGUCUACACAUUAUCCAUAUUCUUCAACUAUGCCAUUAACGCCUAUGCCAUGGAAUUCGUUGUCAGGUAUGAUUGGUAACCCUCAAUGGGCUUAUUUUAAUCCAUGGAUGCAAUAUAAUUUCUUACAUCAUGAAAGGGUAUUACCAAAUCACUAUACGUUUGAUUAGCUACAAGUUUGUUGUUGAUCCAAAGGGCCGAAAUACUUGAUUUGUCAUUUCAUUUGUUUAUUUCGGCUAUAUGUGCUUUGAAUAAAGUUUACAUGGUAAUGGCCGAUAUUUAUCUAUCGUCCUAAGAUUAUGUCAAUGCAUGGCCGGUGUAGUAUCCUAACAUCGUCCUUAGUUCAAUAGGAGACCAAAACAAGCCUCAUACCACUUAAAAUAUUUUUGCACAAUAAUAAAAGCCGAAUAUGAAUUUUUUUUCGAUUUGGAGCUUUUGGUUGCCUAGGUGCUAUACAUACUGAGGCUUUCAGUGAUUCGUUAUGAGUAGUGCAACAAAUAUCCAAGAGUUAUCAAUGUUUUGACGAAUCACUUAUAGUUUAUCUUGAGGUAUGUCUAGAUGCAAAAUUUACCUUGGGUUCCUUUAACAUUGUUCAUAUUUCUAGACAUGACAAUUCAAGAGAGUUGGCACAACAAGCAUCUGGCUACUAUGUUAAUCAUGGUGUAUUGCCUUUAUGUCAAUAGUCGAUGCUUAGUCUCUUCAACAGAGGUAAGGCCGAACCGAAGUCCACCGCUUCAGCCACUAAUGAAUUUUUUUAUACAGGCGAAAUUAAGGAUUGGAGAAAGUUUAUUGUUGAUUAUCUGCGAAAUCCUAGCAAAAGGGUGAACAAUAUGAUUCAGAGGAUGACCUUGAGAUACAUAUCUAUGGAGCUUUAUCAUCGGAUUGUUAAGGAAGUUGAGAAGGUUUCACCCAAUUUUGCAUCAAGGAUUCAAAGAAAUAAUGGCCGAUAUAUAUUUAUCGCCCAAGCACAUGCAAAGUGGCCGAUGGAGUGUUGACAUCGUCCUUAGAACCAACAUGAUACAAGUUAUUUUUCGGCAUACUACCUUUGCCGAAAAACAGGGGGGCAUGUGUUGACGCUCAAAAAUGGCAUGAUCGCAAAGAGUGACUUGAGUCUAUAAUGGAAUGAGGUUAAAAUUAUGAGUUUAUGUCACCAUUUGAUGGCCCUCGUCAAGAUGAUCGAAAUAAAUAUGAAGAUGGACCAAAAAGGAGCUCAAGUGCAAAAGAUAUGACAAUUUCGGAGAUACCCGUGUUGACACCUGAUUAAAGAAUGGCAUGAAACCUAACUAAGAAGACCUUGGAUGGAAAAAGUUACAACGGCAAAGUUCUUCGUCUCGUCGAAACGGACGAUUUCGAUAUAAAGAUCGUCCCCAUCCAAGGUUGUAUACAAAAGUUAUAGACAAAACCGUGAGCUGCAUCAAUGUUGGCCGGAUCAUCCGGGCCGGGGUCCGGAUCAUCCGGGUAACUGAAGCACUAAGAUUCCAGAAGGUUGGCGCUGAAGCCGGAUGAUCUGGGUCAACUCCCGGAUGAUCCAGGUAAAGGCCGGACAAUCCGGGCAAUCGUCCGGACGUCCGGACAAGUUUUUCUGCUGCAGACUUUAGAAAACGGCCCAAAACCCCCUCAAGAUGGCCUGAGAUCAAAAAGUGUUCAACAUGAAAGUUGUGUGUCUCGUCGAGGCGGUUGAUAUUGAUAUAAAAAACGUCCAACUCCGAGGUCGUAUGCAGAUUCUAGAGCCAAAACAUUAAACUGCUGUCAGAAAACUGGGCUAGGCCGGAUCAUCCGGGCCUAGAGCCGGACAUCCGGGCCGGAAGUCGUGAGAAGUCCGAAUUUGGCUAGAUUUUGAUGAUUUGGAUGACAAGGCAAGUCCUUUUCUUGUACGGGAAGUCCAUCCGCCUCUUAUAUAGACGAGAGGUGACGGCCGAUUAAAGAACACACAAUCGAUCAAAUCAUCUACCACUUUUUAUCUUUUAUCUUUUCUCCUUAACCCUAGUUCUUCUUCUUUCUCGUUCUUCGUCUGUUCUUUUUGUUGCAGGGCGGCGAAUCUCAAGGCCCUAGGGGCGAUCAGGUCAACCUAGGGCAGCCCAUAGCCGCCGCGUGCCCUGACGGGGUCCCUCCCGGGCGUGUGGGGUUUCGGGUCUACAAAAGCGCCCGCCAGAUUGUCUUGCGUACCGCGUUUCCGGCGGGUCUCCUUCGACGUGAGCUGCGGUGCAUCGUCCCCGACAUUGAGGGUACACGGGGGUGAUGCACCACAGCUCACGUCGAAGGAGACCCGUCCGGAAGCGCGGUACGCAGGCAAUCCGGCGGGUGCUUUUGAGGACCCGAAACUCCACACGCCCGGGAGGGACCCCGUCAGGGCGCGUGGCGGCUAUGGGCUGCCCUAGGUCGACUUGAUCGCCCCUAGGGCCUCGAGGUUCGCCGCCCUGCAAUGAAGAAGAACAAGCGAAGAACGAGGAAGAAGAAGAACAAGGGAGAAGGAAAAGUAAAGGUAAAAGAUGUAGAUAGAUUUGUUCGAUUGUGUGUUGUUCAAUCGGGCGUCACCUCUCGUCUAUAUAAGAGGCGGAUGUACUUCCCGUACAAGAAAAGAACUUGCCUUGUCGUCCAAAUCAUCAAAAUCUAGGCAAAUUCGGACUUCUCAUGACCUCCGGCCCGGAUGUCCGGCUCUAGGCCCGGAUGAUCCGGCCUAGCCUAGUUUUCUGAUAGCAGCUUACUGUUUUGGCUCUAUAAUCUGCAUACGACCUUGGAUUUGAACAUUUUUUAUACCAAAAUCAACCGUCUCGACGAGACGCACAACUUUUAUGUUGAACAUGUUUUGAUCUGAGGCCAUCUUGAGGGGUUUUCGGGCCAUUUUCUAAAGUCUGCAGCAGAAAAACUUGUCCGGACGUCCGUACGAUUGCCCGGAUUGUCCGGCCUUUACCCGGAUCAUCUGGGAGUUGACCCAGAUCAUCCGGCUUCAGCGCCAACCUUCUGGAAUCUUACUGCUUCAAUUACCCGGAUGAUCCGGACCCCGGCACAGAUGAUCCAGCCAACAUUGAUGCAGCGCACGGUUUUGCCUAUAACUUUUGCAUACGACCUCGGCUGGGUACGAUCUUUAUAUCAAAACCGUCCGCUUCGACGAGACGAAGAACUUUGCAGUUGUAACUUUUUCCAUCCAAGGUCUUCUUAAUUAGGUUUCAUGCCAUUCUUUAAUCAAGUGUCAACACGGGUAUCUCCGAAAUUGUCAUAUCUUUUGCACUUGACCUCUUUUUGGUCCAUCUUCAUAUUUAUUUCGAUCAUCUUGACGAGGGCCAUCAAAUGGUGACAUAAACUCAUAAUUUUAACCUCAUUCCAUUAUAGACUUAAGUCACUCUUUGCGAUCAUGCCAUUUUUGAGCGUCAACACAUGCCCCUCUGUUUUUCGGCAAAGGUAGUAUGCCGAAAAAUAAGUUGUAUCAUGUUGGUUCUAAGGACGAUGUCAACACUCCAUCGUGCACUUUGCAUGUGCUUAGGGCGAUAAAUAUAUAUCAGCCAUUAUUUGCUUGAAUCCUUGAUGCAAAUUUGGGUGAAACCUUUUCAACUUCAUUAACAACUCGAUGAUAAAGUUUCAUAGAUAUGUAUCUCAAGGUCAUCCUCCGAACCAUAUUGUUCACCCUUUUGUUAGGACUUUGUAGAUAAUCAACAAUAAACUUUCUCCAAUGCUCACUUUUAACUGCAUAAAAACAAUAUUAGUGGCCGAAGCGGUGGACUUUGGUUCGGCCUUACCUAUGUUGACUAGAGUAAGCAUCGGUUAUUGAUAGAAAUGCAACAAACCAUGAUUAACAUAGUAGCCGGAUGCCUGCUGUGCCAACUCUUUCAAAUUGUCAUGUCUAGAAAUAUGAACAAUUUUAUAGCAACCCAAGGUAAAUUUUGCAUCUAGACACACCUCAAGAUAAACUAUAAGUGAUUCGUCAAAACAUUGAUAAGCCUUGGAUAUUUGUUGCACUACUCAUAACGAAUCACUGGAAGCCUCAAUAUGUAUAGCCAUAUAGCAUGUAAAAG